CAAAAAAAAAGUUUAAGCUGCAAAUAUUCUAUUUAGUCUUAAUCAAAUAUCUUAUGAAAAUCAAUUUUAACCAAAUGUGGACUCAACUUUAACCAAGUGUUAACUUCAACUUUAACCAAGUGUUAACUAAUCACCACCAGAGAGUUGGCAACCAUAAAUGGUCUAUUAUCUCGAUAGAAAUAGCAAGUUUAUGGAUUAAUAAUAAACCAUCUUGUAAGAAAAGAAAGAUGAGAAACGAGAAGCUUCAACUCUAUAGAUGACACACCUGAGGUACCCCAACCAAGUACUUAACAAGUGUCUUAUAUACACCAGUUGCAGAACCAAGCUGUGCUAACUGUCUCCGCCUAAGAGAACAUACAAUAUGUACAGCAGCUUCAUGUAGUUAGAAUAAUAAAAAACAAAUGACUCUCUUAAAAAGAAAAUGAAAACAACCUUUCCAUUUGCUGCUUCCACAACAGAGCAUAGCGAUCGCGUAUGCUUCCACCAGCGUUAACCACAGCAUCAACCUCAGCUUGCUUAUUUCUCUCCGAGCGUUCUCGCUGCUGUCUGAUUAAAGUGCCUCGAAAAUCUUGUGGCAUGUAGGUCAUAACUGCAAAUAUGUUUACAGACCACCUGGUCAAUUAUCAAGAGAGUUUCUUAGCAAUGCCCUAGAGCCUGAAUAAGCUUUCCAUAGUACCCAACAAAAUUGCAGUGGCAUUUCUACUUAUCAUUGCAAGGCAUUUAUGUGUUAAAAUAAUGAUAAUUGUAAGUUUCAUCAUUAUGGUGAAUGUCCCCACAAACAGAUACACAAACACAAUCAGAAAAGACCACAAAUGGAAACAAACAAAAUGGUUCAAAAGCUGGUUUCUCAACAAAAGGACAUACAGGUAGAAAUGCCAUUUCUCCAUGAAAGGACUGCUGUUUGACGUCAUGCUCAUUUGUGGAAAAUUUGUAGUUUGCUUGUUGAACAAAUUACACGAUGUACUGAGAAAACAAAUUUUUUUAACAAUCAAAGGAAGGUUAGAGCUAACAAACAAAUGCAGCUCCUUUUGUUGUUGAAGCCUGCUAGAGAUGCACUAGUGAAAAUCAGGUCAAGCUGUAGAAAGCUGACAAAAGGAUAAAUAGAUAUCCAAAUUUCAAAAAGUGAAAUUUUCAGACUAUUAAGUUAUAGAAUGCAGUGACAUACAUUGCCAAAUAAACAAUAGCCAUGCUAUUGAUUCAUCAGACUCUGAGCAUACUAGCCACAAACUGAAAAAAGAAGAGAGGAGUGGGGGUUAAAAAAAAAUCCCACAAUUCAAUGUUCCAUCAACAACUACCAAGGUGGAGGAUCUGAAGGACUCAAUAGUGAGGAUAUUGUAGUUUUCGUGCAUAGCAGUUCAAGUGGGAAACAUACUGUUCUUGCUUAUCCAGUAUUUCUACAUACAGUGGUAUAGGAUAGGAUGAGCCAAGGAUGGCAUGCCAGUACAUUCUAGCAGGCAACUGUCAUGCAGCAUUGUACCAACUCCCAUACUAUGAUAAGUUUGUACCGCAAUAAACUGUUGUGCCACUCCACCCCACAUCAAGUGCUAAGCAUGCUUCUUUAUUUUCUUUUAUACUGAUGUCUGUGCUGAUCACUAGCACGAUAAGUGUCGCCACACAUACCAUGUUAUAGGUGGAGCGGCAUGGUGCAUGGCACUGGCACGUAUAACCUUGGAAUCAGGUAAACACUGUUUUACAUAUGAUUGGUCAACCAAAUUAGCUUACAUAUAUUUUAUUAAAGUACCUGCUUAAGAUAAGAAACAGGAAAAAGAAAACUAGUUGAAAUAAGGACGCAUCAGCAAACUUGAUCUUCCUGAUCAAGCCCCUAACUUUCACGAUUCCAUCAAGACUCGGUUAGCCCUUGAUAUAAUAAAAAGAAAUUUGAUACCACUAUGAUUCUAUGAAUCAAAUCAAACAACUAAGGUAUUCUAGCCAACUAGCCUUGGCUAAACCCUGGCCAAUUUCCACGUGCUCCCAUGUCAUUGAAAAGUGAAUCGCAAGCAAUACCAAAAAACCUACUCCACUUAUCUUUACCUCAGGGAAUACUUUACAUGGAAAAGAUGAAAGGACAGUCAGGUGAUCAUGCAAAGGAGAGACAACAAAGUGAAAGAAUCUCGCAAAGAGAAAACAGAGAAGCAGGUUAGAAAAGUGGUUGAUCUGGCUACAGCACACUUCACUUUUCAAAUAACAUUGAGCAUGCUGUCAUCCAGUGUGAAAAUCAUAAAUAUUAUUACCUUUUUAGGGAUUGAAAUUUCAAGUAUUGUAUAAAUAAUUGCACCAUCAACAAACCUACUUAUAUCAUUCUUCAAGCUGCACCAUUACCCAGUGACAUCACAAGCCAGAACAUAACAAAGGACAAGUAAGGUUUCACGAACCAUUGUUUAUUAGUAUAAUAAUAACGAACCAUUCAUUUAACCCUUAUAGGGCAUAACUUGGAAUAUAAUCAGGUAAUAACAAAUAGGUAUUGAUAACCAACCUGUAUUAAAGACGUUGUCAGCAUUUCUUGCUUGGAAUUUUUCCAACUUUGUCAAAAUGUCUUUGAACUUGACUUCAAUACUGUCAAGAGCUGCAGCCAUAUCAACAUCUUCAGGGGUCGCCUUCUGUCGAAGCUAUAAUGUGCAUACAGAAAAGUAAUAUUUACAAAUGUUCAUGAUAGAGCAAAAACAGUUCGAAAAAGUAUACUUCGAAUCCAAUAUACUACAAAGAAAGUGCAAAGUACUUCGGGAUAGCAACAAGACAAAAGAAAUGUUAUCUUGAAAGGUAAAAAAUACAGAGGCAUCUCCGACCACAAGUCAUUCUGGUGUAGGUCCUUGAACUAUGAGCUUUUUCUUAUUUUUUAUGAGAGACCCAGUACUUGCACUUUUUCUUUAGAAGUUUCCAUCUAGUUUGGUGGAAUUGCUAUUACAUGCAAUGAUUAUUACUCCAAGUAAACAAUGGCACCAUAACAACGUGUAGCAAAAUUGCCGUUAAUUCGUCAAAUAAAAAAGUGAACUAUAGUUGAGGUGGGGUCUUGGAGAGGUCCUAUGCUUCUUUGACCUUACAAAAAGCCCAAUCAGCUGUGCAUGCUGUGAGGCUGAAAAAUGAUAUAACUGAGCAAAUUUUUACCCCUUUUGGCCGAUGAGAUUCCUCAAGCAAAUACAGUAUUUCCUCAAUUUGUUCUCUGUUCUUCCACAAAUUCUCAUCAAUUUUGUGAGCAGGUUCGUUGUCAACUUCUUGUGCUAGUAAUUGUUCGCCUACACAACAUAACCAAGAGAAGGCACAAUUAUGUGGGUGUUAACAAAUUUUGAUUGACUCAUACUAUCUUUAAUGUAGAGUGCUCAAAUCAUGUUAAGGAUAAUAUUGAUGAUCGAUAAACAAAGAAUUCAUGUAAAAACCCAAGAAAAGUUAAUAACAACAAACUUCAAUCCUAGCUAAAAGAACAACAAGAUGCUUUUGUUAUGAAGAUAAAAAGGAUAAUGCUCCCAUGAGAGGUGGGGCACGGGACUGUCCACGAAUGCUGGAUCUUAGCCACAAUAACAUAAAUUGGGCACAUCAUGAAAAGCCCAUGAAAUAUACAAACAACAAGAAACUCGGUUAUUCGGACAGUCAUAUAUCUAGCAAACAGUACUUCUUUUAUGAUUCCCUCAUCUAAGCAAUCAACCACACCUUAGGUAGCAUGCUUAAUUUCAAGAUAUUCCUUCCAUUGGCACUAACAGCAGCCUUUUCCCUGCAUCUAUCAUGCAGUUAACAAAUGCAGACAUGUGAGCCAGCAGUCUCACCAUAGAUAUUACCUAUGGGCUACAGCGGGCAUCACUAUCUGAAGUGUCCCCGUGAGCACUUAGCCCAGACUAACUCAACUCAUUCAUGGCUUGAUCCCAUGCUAGGAGGACAUUCAUACACAUCCAGUUUGCCAUUCAGUCCUACUUUGAGACUAUGCUCUCUGCUCUAAUAAUGUCAUUUUGGCCUUCCUAAUUCCUAUACCUCUUUUUAUACGUUAUUCAGAUCCCUACUAACAAGAUACCGAAUGAAACAACUAAACCUGGCGAAAUAUGAAUUUCCUAAUGCACAUGAUCAAAUCAAACAGGGUCAAAUUUCACAACUAGUUCUUCCCAUAUUCUUCAAUCCCAACGCAAUGUGAACUCCCUAAUGCACAUAAAAACAGGAUUUCUCAUGCCAAGUUAUCAUUGUGGUUUGGCAUGCUUCGUCCAGAUUGGCGUUCUUGUUUGAGGAUAUAAUCAAAUCAAUUAGUAAAUUCAUAAUACCAUAGUAAUUGUCCAAUUCAAACCAGAAGAAACCAUAACUAAAGAAGCAAUAAUCUUAUAUAUUCUUGAUGCAUUUCCGCCCCCUACCAAAUAAUCAAACAAACAAAUCAAAUAAACCCAAAUCCCAUAAGCAUCAACUCCAAACCCGCAAUUACUUCCCAAUUUAGCUACCUAAUCACCAAGAAUAAAUCUUUGAGAUCAGAGAAGUAAGGGCAUCAAAUUCAGUACUCUCCGACAAAGAUUAAAACCUUUCUACGAAUCAAGAACUCACCUUUCCAACUGACAAACCACUAGAGAACAGAAAUUAACAAAAAUUAAACUAUGGAAACACUGUUCAACAAAGAUUAAGCCUUUCAAUCUACCAAGAACCCACCUUUCCAACUGAAAAAAAAAAACCCAAGAAAUCACGAUCAAGAGGAGGACGAGAAUCACCAGGAGCGAGGGGGAAGUCCCUACGGAGGCCGUCGGAGAGGCGCCCGAGCUCCGCCGUGAGGCGCGCGACGCCGUCGGCGAGGGGGGGGCAGGGGUACUUCUCGUAGUAGCGCGCGAGGAACGCCCUCGUGAUGGGGACCAACCCGUUCGUGGCAGAGGCCAUCGCCGCCGACGAAGGCGACCGGGAUCUUCCCCGCGGCCACACGUAUCCCUACCCUCGAUCGAUCUCGAUCGAUCGAUCCCGCGGUGGCGGAGGCGUCGGAGGCCGAGGAAAGCGAGGCGGGGCAGGAGCCGGGGAUGUGGCGAGGGAGGGAGCGAUCGAUUUGGGGCGUUAAUGGAGAGUGUCGGUGCGAUUUGGGGCGUUAAUGGUGAGAGAGAGAGAGAAAGAGAGAGAGGGGGGAAACGCCUUGUUAGAUGAAGAAGAAGAAAAGGAAAGAGGAGGAGGAGGAUGAGGAGCACGUGCGUCGCGUGCACCCGAGUGGUUUGGUUUAUGCUUACCUGCGGUGAGAUUAAGAAACGUGUCACCGACUUCAUUUGAGUAAACUUGUACGAUGACCCCUCAACUAUAUACAUCUCUCAGAAAUUAGCCCCAUUCAUUGACAACUCCUUUUUUGUGCUUUUAUUUGAUGUCUUAAUUUUCUGAUUUUUCUAAUUGAAGUUUUUCCGAUUAUAGUCAAAUUAUAAACUUAUUAGAUCUGUUUUCAAUUUAUUCGUAGUGCAGAAAAAAUAAAUGUUCGCAGUCGCCCUCAGACUACAGAUCAUUUUGAAACAGAAUCUAUUAGCAUCUCUGUAACUCUUUUAAUUAUUCUAAAUUAUUCUAAUCUAAUACCUUAAUGUUAAUACCCGUUUUUGCACUUUUCCUUCCUAUCAUUUAAAAACUUACACUUAUGUUCCUUUAAAAAACAAAAGAUAUUCACUUUGACUCCGUUGUCGGUCUGUCAGUAUUUCGUUACGGUUCCAUCCUCGACCGUGCCGCCUCACCCUCCACCACACCGCCUUGAGAUGGAUUGGCUUCGAUUGACCUUCUUACUAUCUAUGGGAAUGGUGAACUCCUCUGGGGAGUACAUGCUUUGAAAAGCGAUCAGCGAAUGACCUUGGUCUAGUAGAGUUUGGAGUUGUGGGUUUGUGUACCCGGAUUUUUGUAGCAGACGCCUUGAUCUAGGGUCGUAGAGAGCCGAGGGAGUCUCCAUAACCAAGAGGUCGAGGUAUUGGUGUCGCCUGCUGAGACAGGCCGCCUCGAAUGAAGUUAACGGUCAGGGAGCAAGUACCAAGCUCGGGUUUGGUUUUGCUCGAUACGAUAGAAAAAAAUUAAGACUUCCAAGCGGUUCUGGUGUGGUGCCCGGCCUUCCAUCGAGUUGAUUGUAUAAAGCAUCUAAUUUAACAUGACGUCUUUCCCCGACCGUGCCGGGCGCAACAUGGAAGUUGUAUGUCCUCCGCCACCUCCAUCUCGCCCACCUCUUUGUCAAUGCCUACACACCCGCCCUCGCGCGCCUCCGCCGCCUCACUCUCGCCCUCGCUCGCCCGCCUCUCAAUCUAUGCCCCUUCCGAAGAAGAUGAUGGACAAUUUGAUUUUUUUGUCACAAUGUAUCCUUUCUAAAAAUUUUUUAUUUUUUUAAAAAAUAAAGUAUGAAUUUUUAAAUAAUAUAAAGAAAAAGUAAAAAAGCGAUGGCUUGUACGUAAUUUAGCUAAAGAUAAAAAUAGAAUUUGAGAGGCUAUUUCAAAAUAGUACUAAAUUUAAGUCGGGGGUAACCACACCGAUGGUGAGCGUACCCUCAGGCAUAUGGUGAACAUGGUGGGGGAAUAUGCGACGUUUCUAGUCCCCAUUCCUUUAUACGAUGCUUCUUUGCAAGUUUGGAGAAAAGAAUUUUUCCAACCUAAAAAAUAGUAGUUAUCUGAUUGACUACUUAAUUUUUGGGUUAAUUUCAUACAGGUCCCUACAGACAUAAUGAAUAGUAGAUAUAUUAUUGUAAAGUUUAACUUUCAUGAGUUAUUCCUGUAAAAGUCCUAGUGUAUUCAGAUAUAUUCUUGCCGUUAAUACCCAUUGGAAAAAUCUAGUUAACCACAGUUAAAAUACUUAAUCAUGAUUAGUUAAUACGGUAAAAUGACAUUUUUACCCUUCUUUCUCUUCCCCUUCCUCUUCCUUUUCCUCUUCUGCUUCUUCUUCUUUAUAUCCUCAUUUUCCUCCUCCUUUUCUCCUUCUUCUUCGUCGUCGUCGUCGUCGACGAUCCGAUCAUCGUCGCCGUCGUGGUGCCCGCGUGGGCCGUUGUCACAGGCGCCUCCGACGCCAUCGGCCACGCCUUCGCCUUCCGUCUCUUCCUUAUCCUCAUUGGCUGCAACCCCUACAAGCUCCGCAAGAUCGCCGCCGCCGCCGUCUACUCCCACAGCAUGAAGAGGAAGAGGAAGAUGAAGAGUGCAAGGACAAAAUAAUCAUUUCAUAAUUCUACUGUUAAAAAAUUAACAGUUUUUUAACAAAUCCAAAGCAGAGGGACAUAUCUGAAUAUAUAUAUAUAUAUAUAUAUAUAUAUAUAUAUAAAAUAGGUAGCUAUCUGAAUAUAUUAAAGCUUUUGUAUGAAUAUUUAUGAAAGUUGAACUUUGCAGAAAUAUAUCUACUAUUUAACAUAUUUGCAGGGACCUGUAUGAAAUUAACCCUUAAUUUUUUUUAGAUUUUAAUUAUAUUUUCUAAUCUUUUACUUUGAUUGAGUUGAGCCAGUCAACAAUAUUCUAACUUUAAUUGUGUCGUUUAUAUUAUAAGUUUAGUUAGUAUAGUUUAUCUAAUCUCGCAACUAUAAAUUGUUAAGAUAACUAAUUAGCUUAAAUUUAAAAUCGAAGUACUGUCGUCUGGCUCAAAUCAAAGAAAUUGAAAAAUUAAAUAAUAAAAUCAAAUUAUGAAAGGUUGAUCUAAGUUUCUCUUUCAUAUUGCUGGGGGAAUUGUUGGGUACUUCAUUGGGUAAGCUUGCGAUUCUCUUUUUUUAUAUAAAUUUGUAUGUAGAGACCCCCAAUUAUAAGGCACAACUGAUUUUAAGAUGCGUUAUUUCAAUCAAGUAAAAAUAAACUUUUACUAUAAAUGUAAUACUUAUAAUCACUUUUUUAGCAAAUAAAAUCCAAUUACUUUAAUGAUUAAGACUUAGUUUCGUAUUCAGAUGGAUCUAAUGCCAUUAGAUAGAAUAGAGUUGAGAAAAAAAAUAUAAAGAUAUGUUUCUGCGUUCUCCGAUGGGAUCGCAAAAAUAUAUCUUAACUGACGAACCGCAAUAUGUGGAACGCAAUAAUACGUACGGAAACAAACAGGGUAUUUUUUCAUCGUCGUUUUUCAUCGCACGUAACGUAAUCUCCUUGUAAUCCCAAACGAAGCCUUGAAGGGCCAAUUACAUAAUUUAUUGAUAGUUGAGGGGGUCUUUGUACAUUUUCACCAAUAUUUUAUCGUGCGUGGCACGGGAAAGGUGGUGGUGCGUGACGUGAGAAAGAGGGCCAAAUUAAUAACGUGACGGUACAGUUUAGGUUAAUUAAUUAAUCAGAAAAAUAUAAACAAAAUUUGUGUACAUGAUGUAUUUAUAAAGGAUCUGUUUAGUUGUAUAUAGUUAUUACUGUAUUCGUCGAUCGAUAAAGUGUUUGGACCAGUACAGCUGAGUCUAAAUACUGUGGCCGGACGAAAGCGUGAAACCAGACGACGGGGUUCAACUUUUGCAUUUGAUAUAAUUUUAACUACUGCAGUUGCUGAAGAAUCGAAUUAUUCAGUUAAAACAAACAAAAUAAAGAUAUUUUUAAACUACUAGAUUAAAAAAUUAUGGAUAUAAUAGCUGUAAUUGUUGUAUUUCAACUAUAUAUACUUUUAAAUAUUGUAUUUAUAAUUAUAUUCACAAAUUCGAUAAGGACACUCGAAAACUUGCCACAAUCCGACAAUAAAAAGGGAAAAAUAAUUAAGAACACAGUUUUACAGACACACAUAUUGUAUAAUGCUCGAAUCUCAAAACAGUGAUGAACAAUAAAUUUUACCAUCUUAUGGUGGGCAUGGUCCUCAUAAAAGCUGUGUUCAACAAUGGAAAUACUAAAUUUAACCUAAUUCAAUCACCAUAUAAAAUAUAUUAACCAUGUUUUUAUGGAGUUGGACGGAGAAAAAGUAUCAUUAGACAUGAAUCUUCUUAAAGAAGAUGAACUCAAUUAUUUAAUCUGGUCCAAUUAAAGUAUGCAUCAAAUGGACUAUUGGAUCUUUUUUUUUUGUAAGUAAGUGCUAUAAUUAGGCUACACUAAUACCUAUUACUAUAUAUAGGCAACUAAUUAAUUAUGUGAGCUCGUAUAGAUGUUUUUAACUUAAUUUGAAGAAAAAUAAUGCAUUUUAAAACCUCAUUUUUUCAUAAUUAUUCUCCAACUAAUCUAUAUAAUAACCAUAAUUAAUUUGAGGAGAACCCUCCACCAACCCUUUGAUGAGUCGUGCCCACAAAAAUUUUGGAAAGUAGGCGUGUAAGGUGAGAGAUCACCUCUCUUCUUUAAUUUCUAUUAAUAAUUAAUUGAUUAAUUAACUAAAGCAUGAAAAUUUUAAACUCUCAUCACGAUGCGUGUCGCAGUUUACAAACUAAGCUGCAACAAAUUUAUGAAGUUUAAGAACUAACAUAAAACUCUCACAAUCUAUAUAUAGUUUGAUGAUCGUCCCUGUAUACUACCCAUUUUUGUACGAGUUCCAUCGAUCAUUAAACUCCGCAUUGAAGCACAAACACAAUUUUAUGGUGUUAAUAAGUGUUAGAUUAUUGAUUAUUAAUUAAGUUAUUUAUAUUUGAAGAGCAUCUUAUGUUUCAACAAUUUUUUGUUGUUAAUUAAUUUAUGACCCAUGUAAUUAAUUAAUUAUAUGGUUCAAUUAAUUACUUAAGGCACAAUUAAAUUAUACAUAAGUCAGAAUAUUUUUAUACUUACAUGCUUUACACAAUAUUAUGUUCAUUGAGUUUUAAACUCACAAGCAAUAUUAUGGCAUGAGUAAAAGCACGCUUAUGGUUAUGGGUUAAGAUCACAUUUGAAGAGAAAUAUUAGUAAUUAUUCAAUAUAUUAUAAUUUAUAUUUGGUCUUUUCCCAAGAAAAAAGCUCAGUUUUGUUAUUCCAAAGCUUUUCCUAAUAACUAGUUUUAGACUUAAUUUGGCUUCUUUACGCCAUUGUAAAAGCGAUUCAUUUCGAGCAAAACUUUAAUUCGUGGUGCAGUGCACGAUAGAAAACUAUAAUCUGCAAAAGCUCUAAAAUUAGAUUUUCUUGUGAGCUGUGAUGCGCUGUGUUUCUAAAUUUUGAGCCAUUUUUUGUAUCGUAGUGUAUGACAGGGCGGUGCGUUCCUAAAUCGGAAUGCACUGUGAGACUAAACAAACUCUUAUUAGACUUAUUUGUCAAAAGCUUAGAUAGUGCUUUACAUAAUUAACAAGCCAUUAUAAAUGCAAAGAUAAAAGAGAACUAAUUAAUGAUCCUAAUCAUAGUAUUCUAUGAUUCUAUAAAUAAUAAAACCCUUCAAUGGUAAUUAAACAAACCAUGGCUAAGCUCGUGAUGAUCACUCUCAUGACCCUCCUCUCCCUCUCCCUCUUCAUCACAGGCACGUGUACAUCAAUUCUCGUGUCGAUGAUCACCAUAACCGAGUUAUAUGAUCCCCAUGCACGUGCAUGCAGGUACGUUCGGGAUCGACGGCUACGAUUUUCCCGAAAAGGGAUCGGCCACGGUGGCCGCAGAAGUAUCCGAGGUGGGGAACGCCACUACGCUCGAUGUGUUCAAAAGGUGCCUGGCGUGCCGCUGUUGUAUUGGCGACGGACGAUUCUGCUUCAACACCAAGUGCUGCUACCAGAUUUAUUGCAAAAUCCCCGGACAGCCCCCCGACAAGUGCUUUUUCGUCGCCAAGAAAUGCGGCUGCAAUUCUUGCUACUGAUCGGAACGGUCGAUACUUUUAUAUUUUUAAUAUUUGAGGGGACUGUCCCGAUAUUGUGACUUGGUCUCUCUAGUUUAUACUUUUAUAAAAACUUUAUGUGCUGAUAUAUAUGUUUUAAUAUAUAUAUUAUUAUUACACUCUAGUUCCUGAAGUUUAAGGUAAAAUAGUAAUUUUCCUUUGAUAACUAUAUUAUGGAUAUAUAUAAAGUUCAAAAUAUGAUCAUGAUAAUUAAAGUUCAAGCCUUAAGUUUUAAUGAAAAGGUUAAGGUAGGGAUAUAUAGAACAGGGAUUUUUAACUAUGUAUAUAGCAUAUUAAUUGUAUUUUUAAUUGAUCAGAUCACUAUUAAAUUCCGUUCGAUUCAUAUUAUAUUUUUUUUUAAAAAAAAAGAAAUUGCUUGUAAAAUAUUUUUUAAAAAAAUUUGAGGGUACUUCCCAGGUUAAUAUCUCAUCUAUAAUAGGUGAUUAUUUAAGAUUGGAAUUAAGCAACUCACAACUACUUAAGUUUCUUUAUUUUUUGUGUAAACUAGGGUGAUAGUUUGAUAAAUUUCCUUUGUGGUAGUUUCUUGUUGAACUCCUCAUAACCUUAUUUAAAUUUCUUUGCAACUUUAGCAAUUUUAUUGGAACUAUAGUACAUGAGUCUAAAUUUGGUGUAGUUUGUAUACCAAAUCCAUAAAAAAUAUCACAAAAAUCAAAAGUAAAUAUAUAGUGAGGUCUAAUGAAAAAUCCAUUAAUUGUAUUACUUUUUAUAGAAAAUAAAAAGGUAAAGCCCAAGCCCAUAAGUCCAGAUAUUUUAAGGCCUCAAUAAUACGGCCCGGCCCGUUACUUGCAUUAUAUAUAAGAAAAAAAUAUUUCUCGCACACGGCGCACUGAAAUAAACCUCAUAGUGAGAAGUGACUAGUGAGAACUCGAGCACCUAACCACUGAACUAUUAUUAGGUUUGGUGACUAGAAAGGGUUGCUUUACCAUAACAUAUUCCCUAAUCUCCCUUUUGGUUUUUGUUCUUGUUUUUGUCUUAAAUGAAUGUUUGGUUCUUUUUAAGUGAGUCACUUUAUUGGUGAAAAGUUAAAAUGGUAAAAAUUAUAUUUUCUUUUUUAUUUUGACGGUCAAGAUAGUAUAAUACAUGUGAAAGUUCAGAGAUUAAAUUAUCUAAUCGACAUAUUUUAGUCUAUUAACAAAGAUUUCAAUUUUUGAUUGAAAAAAUUGCUUCUUUAAAUUUUUUUUUUUCCCUAAAUGUGUGUCUAGUUUAUUAGAUUAAUUAAGUCAGUCAUUUUACUGGUGAAAACUUAAAACGGUGAAAAAAUGGAUUUUUUUUUUGACCGCUAAGACAAUAUAAUACAUGUAAAAGUUCAGAAAUUAAAACAUCGGACCAAUAUCAUAGAAUACAUUUUAUCUUUUCAUAUCUUACAAAUGAUAACCAUUUCAUGCAUUAAAAAAUUCAACAAUUUUUUAUUAUUAUUACUAAUACUCUGUAUAAAUAAAUUCAACAAGAAGAUCUUUUGUUUUAAGAAAAAAAUAGCUAGUUACUCGGUUUGCUCAAGAAACGUGAAACUAUUAUGUUUCGAACUUGAAAUCUCAUAUGUCAAAUAUCAAGUUCUUAGUUAACUACGCGAGAUACGAUAUGUGUAAUUCAACCAUUCAAAUAAUUUUUUUUUUCCAUUUUUUGAGCAAAUAUUAAAAAUUUCAAAAGUGAUCAUCAUUUGAUGAAGUCGGUGUGGGUGGGGCACGACUUGACAGUAGAAGUCGGCGACGAGUAUCGGUAGUGCGCCGAAAUUGAUGGCAAAUAUGAAAUCCGCCACCGCCACUCUCACGCGUGAGUGACCAAAUGUUGGGCUCUUCCUUUUUCUUUUCUCUUCUUUUCUUUUUUUUUUAAAAAAAAAUUAAAUGGAGAUAAAUUAAAUUAAAUUAGACACGUCAAAAUCAUUACGAAAUCAUUCAUCAUGCAUUACGUAACGACCGUGUUGACCGGUUAGAUCCAUACCUUAACGUACGUACUAGGGCCGAGUAAUAACUUUAUUUUUAUUUUAUUUAAGUUUGAUUUAAAAAGUUUUAAACUAAAAACUUUGGUUUAGUUUUGAAUUUAAGAAAAAAACAAUCCAAACAGUGUAUAAACAUGUAUAUAUAUACACACACACACAAUCACUUAAUUUAUAUUUGAACGUGUUUUUACUUACCAUGAUAAUUUAGUACUUAAUUUAUUUGAAUAUAUAAUCAAGAAUUUAGUAUAAAAAUGUAUGUAUAUACUCAAUCUGAAGAUUUUUUUUUUCUCCUUUUUUUGUAAUUUCUCUUACCAGGGUUCGCUUAAAUUUACUAAAUACGCCUUGAUUUAACCUCAUAAAUCUAAUCUAUACGAUGUUGGCAUUGUUUCAAAAACAUUAUAAUAAUUAAUUAUGAUGGUAACUUUAUUGUCUUAUAAUUAUGUCAAAAGAGUGAUAUUUGGAGAUAAAAUUAGUAAUUUUGAUAAAAAAAAAAAUCAUGAUGGUGACUCUAUUUUCUUACAAUUUUGUCACAAAUUAAUGAUAUGGACGUCGAAUUAGCUAGUAACCCUAAUAAACCAAAUUCGAAAGUUCGAGAACUUCGGGAAUCUAUAUCUUUUUAUGUUGGAGUUGUUUGGUUUCUUGAAAAGUCGUAAAAAAAUAAUUUCAAAAAAAAUAUUAUGAAAAACAUUAAUUCCACAGUUUUCAUUUUUUUUCUUUGGAUUAAAAACUUCGAGAAACGAAAAAGAGACUUUUUUUUUUUAUAAAAUCUGGAAAAAAAAAAGAACUUCCGAGAGAAAACUAUAUGUUAUAGAAACCAAAUGAACGAAAAAUUCUUUUCUUAUUAGAAAAUUAUUUUCUGAGAUAUUUUUGCAAUUUCGUUUAGUAUUUCGGUCCCUUUUUCACAAAAAAAAAACAUAAUUCUAUAUACGAAAUAAUGUGUAUAUUAUACGAAAUAGUGUAUCUCAGCUAUAUACGAAAUAAUGUGUUAAUCUUAAAAAAACAAGUUAAAAGUAUUUUUUUCUUUUUAUCCAACAAGCUUUAUUUUCACUAUAAAAAACUGAUAUAUUAACAAUAUUCUGUGAUAAUUUUUUGACGCAACUUACAAAUUAAAACAUAAUCACUUUAUAUUUCUAGCUAAAUUUAUUUUUUUCUAAAAAUUAAUGAAACGAACAGCAUACUUAUCUUUCUUUUAUUUUUUUAAAAAAGGAAAAAGUAUUGAAAAAUAAAAAUAAGCAUUAGUUACAAUAGAAAAAGAUCUAACAAGAAUCUUUAUUUUUGGCCAUUAUUUUGGAACAAUUCAAGCUGGGGUGGCACAAAAUGACAAGAGAACAUGGAGAGGUUGGAAUGUUCUACAACCCUAUUAGGGAGCUUUUCCCAUGCACAAGCCAUGUGAAUAUAACAUUGGAACCCUAGUUUAGUAGCCCCACCACCUCCUAAAAGAGGAUAUCAAAAAAUAAUCCAAAGGAUAGGGACAACACAAAACUUUCUUUUUUUCUUUUUUUCUAAUUUGAGGUCCCCAUAUAACAUAUUCAAAUGGGGAUCAUCUUCAACUUUUUUUUAGCUUUUUUUACUAGUCCACACCAUAGUUAGUUAAAUUCGCAAAUUAUUCGCGAACUUUUGAAGAAACGAAUUAAACGGCCGUAUUCGUAUUUUUUCAAAAAAUUCACCAAAAAAACGUUUUUUUGGGUAAAAAAUACUUAUUCGCGAAUAAUUCGGGCGCCCCGAAUUAUUCGGCCAAAAAGACACACGCUCACGAUCGCGCUCGUGCGCGGGUCGCGGGCCUCGCGGCUCGCUCGCGAGCGCUAGUGCAAGCGCUCGCGCUCGCGCUCACGGCUGGCCCAAAACAGAAAUAAAAAAAAAAAAAACCCUGUUCCCCCGCCCAAAACAGAAGAAAGAAACCCCCCAAAGAAAAAAAUUACUCAAUCAAAAAAGUUUAAUCUCUUAUGUACUAUCUUAAUCUCUUAUUUACUUAAUUAUUUAUUUAUUUUGAGGCGUAAUAUAAUUAGCUAUUUUUUUUACUUAAUUAACUUAAUUUUGUAGCUAUUUAUUCUUAUAUUCUUAAGAAAUAUGAAUAUUUAUGCUAAUAGCAUAAAUUUUGAGAGAAAAAAAACUUAAUUUAAUAGCCGAAUUUUUUAUACCGAAUUUUUAAUUGGUGAACGUAUAAUAUCUGUAUAAAUCAUGUAUCCGAAAAAUUGACAAAUCCGUUUUUUAGCCGUAUUUUUCAACGAAUAUAAAUGUUAGAAGAUAAAUUUUAUCCGAAUUAUAUCCGUACCGAAUUUGUGCCGAAUCCGAAUUAACUAACUAUGUUCCACACAAAUUAAAUUUGUUGCAGGGAGUGAUCAAGUGUGUGUGUUGUUUCAUUUUGAACAGGAAAAAGAAAAUUAAAAUUAAAAUUUUAUUUUAUAUGGUUGUUGUUUUUGCUUCUGCAUGUCUCAACUACAGCCGUUCGAAAAUUUUACUAAAAGUAUUAAAAGAUAUUUUUUUGAAGAAAACUGUCUAUUUAAUUCGAUAGACGAUUUAGGGCAUAUUUGUUUGUCAAAAGUGGAGAGAGGUGAGUUAUUUUCGACCGCAAAUGUCUGUUUUCAUUGAUUGAUUCAUCCUAAGUUAAAUUCACUUGUUAUUUCAACUUUUCAAAAAUAUACCGUAAUUAACUUCGCGCUGGGUAGUGCCAAAGUCAAUUAGGAAAAAAUACAUAUAAAAGUAAGGGGAAACUUCAAAUAUCCCCUGUAGUUUCGCACUUUCUCAUUUUAGUACCCUGUGGUUUCAAAUGUAUCAAAUUGGUAUAUCCUGUGGUUUCGUACUUUCUUACUUUAGUACCUUGUGGUUUAAUAUUUCGUUAAAUUAUAUACCCCCGAAAUGGAUAAUAAAAAGAAAAAAUUGAGACCACAGGGUAUUAACUUGAUACAUUUAAAACCACAAGGUACUAAAGUAAAAAAGUGCGAAAUCACAGAGUACUAACUUGAUACACUUUAAACCACAGGAUACUAAAGUGAGAAACUGCGAAACCACAGGGGGGUAAUUUGAAGUUUCCCCUAAAAAUAACAAAAAUAUGAAUCAUUGUAAAUUUUUUCAUUCUUGUGAUACUAUCCAGUAAAAUAAAUAAAAAGUACCGACCAUCUCUAUUGCAACAGGCAAAAGCCUUGAUAAUUAGUAUCUAAGGUCUCUAAGUUUGAAACUUAUUUGCUUCGCAGUUUUAGUUAAAAAAAGAAGUAAAAUAAUUUUCUUUUGAUAGAAAAAAGAUAAGAUCACUACAAUUCCGAAGCUAUUUACUUUCUAUUAAACAAACAGCAUUAAAAAAAGAUUAUCUAAACUUUAGUUCAAUCGAAGUCAUUUUCAAUCUGAAACCAUGGUGAUGAUAAUGGUGACCAAAUAGAAAGAAAAUAGCCACCAAUUAAUGCUUGGUUAAACAUGCAUUGAUGUUGUGGAAGGACAUUUUGAUUCUCUGUACAUGAGAGGACUUGUCACAGUGGAAAUAUUUCUGGUCUCCAUAAAGGAUCAAAUAAAUAUAAUAUUGUUAAUGUAUCAACAAACCUAUAUGUUAUUCUAAAUUUUUUUACAAAUUAAUAAAAAGUCCCUGUAUUAUAUAUACCAACAUAUCAAUAAUAAUAAAAAUAAUAUUUAUGUAAGUGGCAAAGGGUUUGGUGGUUGGUAUCCGAGACCUAAGUUCAAAUACUAAUUGAUUCACAUUUCCAGCUAAGUUUAUUUCUAAAUAAAAUAAACGAAGCGGGUAGCAUGCUACCUAUCUCUCAAAAAUAAUAAUAAUAAUAAUAAUAAUAAUAAUAUUUAUAUGAUAUAUUGAUAAUCGGGAUGGAACCAAGAUUUUUAUAACAAAGUACAAUAUAUAAGGCACAAACUUUUUACAAAAAUAAAAUAAAAUUAUCUUGACGCCUAAAAUUCAUAAUAUUUUAAAUUUUACUGUAUCAUAAUUAGGAAUUGUUAUGUAAUUUUCAAAAAGUUGAGGAGGACAAUGGCCAUUGUCGGCCUCUCAAUAGCUCAGUCGGUGGUUGAUAAAUUCUAUCUUUACGUUGUUUUCGAUUGCAUGUAUAAAAAAAAACAAAGAUCUCCAUCUCUUAUACGCAAGUAUAUCAAUUAUAUAUAUAUAUAUAUAUAUAUAUGAAGGAAAAAUUUCAAAAACUACCCUGUGGUUUCGUAUUUUCUCACUUUAAUACCAUGUGGUUUAAAGUGUAUCAAUUUGCCCCCUCUGUGGUUUUGUUUUUAUCUUUUCUAUAGCUUUUUUCUUAAUAUUUCGUUAAAUUAUAUACAAAAAACUUCAGAUAUCCAUCUAGAUUUACCAAAUAUUUACUUUAGUACCUUUAAUUUUAAUUUUGUCACUGAUUUAAGAAAAAAAUAAAAUAAAAUUGAUAAAAAAAAGAGAAAAACGAAACCACAAGGGGGCAAAUUGAUACACUUUAAACCACAGGGUACUAAAGUGAGAAAGUACGAAACCACAGGGGGUUUUUUGAAGUUAUCCCAUAUAAGAAUAGCACUUUGAAAAAUCUGUAUCAACGAUGCAAAAACAAUUAUAACUAUUCAAAAAUAAUAGUUUAAAUAUAAUUAGCAUUUGUGUUAGCUCGAGAUAUUUUGAUAGAACCAAACUGUGAAAUAUUUUCGAGACGUUGAGUUAAAUUAAAUAUAAGAAAAAUUAAUAAUACUACAAAUUCCCAUGAAAUUUGAAUCCAGGGAAAAAAAAAAAAAGUUGCUAGAAAAAUAUUUCAAUCAUUUAAAAAGGGACCAUCCUUUCUCAUUAAGAAAAAAAAAACACUAGGAUAAGGGAUAGUACACACAAAAAAAUAAUUUCUUUUUUGAGGAUUUUUUNGUAAAAAUAUAUAUAUAUAUAUAUAUAUAUAUAUAUAUAUAUAUAUAUAUAUAUAUAUAUAUAUAUAUAUAUAUAUAUAUAUAUGUCUUUGUAAGUUUUUUUUUUUCUUUUAUUUUUUUGGAAGGAACAAGUGCUCUCUCAUUAAUGUUCUGUGGCCAAAGACUAAGUCCAAAAUGUAUAGGGUCCCAAAAAAAUGUGAUUCAUGGGUGAAUUGGACCAUGUAACCAACAUAAUUGUGUGACACAACUAAAGCUUGCUAACUUUUUGUCUUGUUGCUUUGCUAUGUUACUCUCUCAAAAAGUUGGAAUCCAGCUUUUUUAUAUUAUUUCUCACAGUUAAACAUGAUAAAUACUAUGAUUAAAAAAAAAAAAAAAACCUUUCAUAAAAUUUUACAAAUUUCCAUUGGUGGGCAUACUUAGUUGAUAAAAUGAUAUCUCAUUAUUAUCAAGUGAUGGAUGUGAGUUACAAGGCCAAUAAUGAAACCCAACCAUUAAAUUUCAUAGUUUAUAAAAUAUUCUAAGAUUUUAGAUCAGGAUAAUUUAAUUUAUUUUUUUUAUCAAGUUUUGGAAUACCUUUCAAUUGUAGCAAAAAGUAGAAAUUUUAAACAAAACAUGUCAAAUUUCAUAGCAAAAAUUUGACAUGUUUUGUUUUAGAGAAGAGAAAUUAUUCAAACAAACACUAGUACACCAUACAACUAUAUGUGAUAAUGUGAUUAAUUUUUUUUUUUAUUGGUGUCAUGCACUAUUUUUUAUGUAUAGCUUAUGAGCAAGACAAAAAGUUAGGCUUACUAAUUGCAUAAAUACCAACAAAGUAGUCUUAUCAAUUGCAUUUUUCUUAAUGGUUUUGUACCAUCAUCUUGAUAGUGUAAGAACUUUUAAAAAUUAUACAUUGUUUUUGGUUGUUAAAGAUACCAAAGAAAUUUUUGCACUUCAAUAUCUAACACGCGACUCAUCUGAGAGAUGCACAAAUAAAAAUAAAUAAAUAAAAAUACCGAAUUUAAGUAUCUUAUCUUAAAGUAAUAUUAAAAAGCUGAGAAUUCGAUCAGUGAUUAUACCUUUAUUAAAAUAAGAUAUAGAUUAUAAUUUUUCAGAGACCGAGUUCUAAAAUUGAAGUCUAUAAACAUGUUCAAAAAGAAAAAGAAAUUUAUUUGUGGCUAUUGUACAUAAAUUGCACAGAGAUUAUUAUUUUUUAAAAAAAUUUUAAGUAAAAUGAAUGGUUAAAUAUGAACAAAUCAUGUGGAUCAUCAUGAUGCAUGCAAUCUAAUAAGACAAAUUUUUGGGAGGUUUUGAUUGCCAGUUAGAAUGCUCACAAUUACCUCUUUGCCACUCCUAAGUAUAUAUAAUUAUUUUAUUUAAUCAAAAGCAACUUUGAUUAGAAAACCUCUCACCAAAAAUGGGAUUAAUAAAAUACUUAUUUAUCCUCUCUUUUGUCCUAAUGAUAAAGUUCAUUAAUUAAUUAUUUCCCUUAUAGUUAAGCCAAAAAAUAAUCUAAUGUAGUGGAAUUUUGAUUUACUUACUAUGGAGAGAAUUUUUCACAUUUGAGGAUUGUUUUUUUUUUUUUUUGGGUGAAUUGAAACGAUCGAAGCAGAGUUCGAUUAUGAUUUUUUUUUGGUCCUUUGAUUAAUACAUAACUAUUUAAUUUAUGAUGAACUAGCGAUGAAAAUAUGCAGAGUUUAACUACACUAGAAAUCGAGUUUUGCAAAAUCCAAAAAAUGAUAUAAAUUAAAUAACUCACUGUAUAAGCUUUUGAUUAAUGCUUCGCGGUUGUUCUUUAAGGUGCUAUACAUUAUUUACCAAUAUAUCAACAACACAUAAACUCCCAUUUAUGAUUAAUAGUUCACGAGUACUCUUUAUUGACUAAUCAAUAUAUUAUUAUUAGUCUAAGCACAGGAUAUAUUAGUGAUAUAUUAGUCCUAGUACUCCCUAAAUUGUCCAAUGGUACUUUAAUAACAUAUCCUGAUGAUUAUAAUAUUGGAUUAUUGUAUCAUUAAGCCAGCAUAUUUGGAUAUUUAAUUACUGAGAUUACUAGGUAAGUCACUCUGAGCCACUAAUUAUGAUGACCACAUAUCCCCACUGAAACCGACCAUGGACCUCCAAAAAAAUAAAAACAAAAAAAAAAAUCAUUGGUGCUUAUCCCCACCAUCCUUAUUUUCAAACCCCACUAAUCCUUAUUAAAUAUAUAGGGAAAAAUGUACAAAUAUAUAGACUUUUAAUUUCAGCAGUUAGACUCGUAAAAUUUUAUCCACUAAUUUAAUAGAUCCAUCUCCGAGAGAAAAGUUGCUAAUUGAAUAGUCGUUCUGAUCGAGUAUCAGUACAUAAUUUUGUACAACUUCGAAACACAGAAAAAUUUAUUUAGUCUUUUCAAAUUAUGAUAUGAGCAUGAGAAAUUUAUUUAGCUUUAGAAUGUUAUUUGCAAUGCAAGCGACUAAAUUUAACAAAGUUUAGAAAGUUUAAUUAUCAAAAUUAAAAGUUACAGCAUAAUUUGCAGAAGUGUUAAAUGUGAGGGGCCUCUGUACAUUUUCUCUCAGAUAUUUUUAUUUUAAGUUUCUCUAAUUUUGUCAUGUGGCAUGAAUCUCCAAGCCACUAACCUUAAAUUGGAAUUGGUAGCAAAUUAUUUUAUAUUUUAUUUUAAAUAAAUCUUCUAUUUGAUUAAAUUGUGAUUUUGUAUUAAACUUAUUUAAAAUAUAAAAUAAUUAGAUUUUGAAUUUGAAAUUUCGAGCGUCAAUCUACAUAAUGUUUACGUACAGCUGUUGCGCAUUGAUUCUAACAGUUAAAACUAUAAAAUUUUAUUAUAAAAUUACAUAUUUAAUACUAUUUUAUAGUAAGUGAUUAUAAAAUGUUAGAGACUUUGUCUAAAUGUAGAAUAGGUCAGGGACUAAAAUGCAUUUUUACACUUUUUUAAUCUUCGAAGGAAAGAAACACUAUAGACCCAUCAUUAGCCAUUCCAAUUAUUAUUAUAUAAAAUAAUAUUUUCGCGCACAUUUUCUCAUCGUGCGCACGCGCGUAGCACGUGCUUUGUAAUUACCGAAAUACCCCGAGGGCAUUUCCGUACAUAGGUGGGGUAUAAAUGAAGCAUCCCACUUGCUGAUGCUCCUCGUCCCCGACUCAACCCGACUUCCCCACUCUUGGACCCCUCCGGAACCCUAUAUCCGGCGGUCGGAACCCUAGCCCCGGCGAUCGAUGACGAAGGUCCAUCCCAACGCUGCUGCGCCGGAGACUAAGAUCCCGACCGUCUCCGGCGACGGCGCCGCCGUGGCUCUGACGGUGUGGCGGAGGUCGCUUUUGUUCAACGGGAAGGGGUUCACCGUGUUCGACGCGAAGGGGAACCUCGUGUUCCGCGUCGACGACUACGCGUCGGGGAGCCGGGGCGAGGUCGUCCUCAUGGACGCCGCGGGGAAUCCGCUCCUCACCAUCCGCCGCAAGGUAAAAUCCCUACCUAGCUAGCUUUCGAUCGAUCGAUCUCGGGGUUUUGAUCCCGUUUCUACGUUUUUUAAGAUCGAUUCGAUCGUCGUUGUGUCCCGAUCGAAUUUCUCUCUAAAACCCUAAAACAAUCCUUAAAUCCUUUCAAAUCCCCUCCCUAAACUCGUUCGAAUCGUAGUAAUUCGCAGCUUUAAUCAAACGAAAGAAAACAACGAACUAAUGAAAAUCAACAAAUCUCAACGGAUUUCGCGUUACCUUGCCGCAUGCAGAAGCUGAGCCUGAGCGAGCGCUGGAUCGUGUACAAGGGCGAGGAGGUCGGGGGCGAGCCCCUCUUCUCCGUGCGGAAGCACGUGACCCUGCUCCCCUCGCCGGCGCUGGCGCACGUGACCGGGGGCUACGCGGUGGAGGGGUCGUACGCGCGGCGGAGCGUGGCCGUGUACGACGCCUCGCGGCGCCCGAUCGCCGCCGUGGAGGCCAAGGGCGCCGCCGUGGGCCCCGACGUGUUCCGCCUCGUCGUCGCCCCCGCCUUCGACGCCGCCGCCGCCAUGGCCAUCGUCAUCCUCCUCCGCUCCCUCAUUCUCCCCCGGUAAACCACGCUAGCUGUAAUCCCACCACAAUCCUUUUUGAAUUUGUAGACUCAUCACCUCCGCACCACAUAUAUACUAAUUAAGCUCACCAUGGUUGCGGCGGUUGUUAUUAUUAUUAUUAUUAUAUUAUAUUAUAUGUAUUAAGUAUUAACUCUCUCUUGCAUCCACUCUCUCAUCCUCAUGUGUGUGAUGUGUGAUGUGUGAUGUGCGAUGAGAAUGGGAUGGUUAAAAAUAUAUACAUACAUAUAUAUAUAUUUUCUUAUUUUUAGGAGAAGGAAAGGCCAUCAUGUAUUUUUGAUGCUUCAUGUAAGCCCUGGAAGCAUUUCUUCUUCUUUUUUUCUUUUUUUUUCUUUUUUUUUUCUUUUGUGCUUAUUGAGCGCGAAGGAAGUAGGAAAUAUGCUGUGCCGUCAAAAUAUUUUCGAUAAAUUUCUUAAACUUUUGUAAUCUUAUUGUCGUGGAUACAACUAUACAAGUUCGGUUGUAAUUUAACUUUUUCCGAACGUCGUAAUCAGUUUUGCUCUAACCGGAUGGUUUGUUGUAAGAAUGGCAUAGUUCAAAUCUGUUUUAGAUUGCAGAUAAUUUUUUGGGUACACUUCAAAUAACUUCUUUACGGUUUCACAUUUUCUCACUUUAAUACCAUUGGUUUAACGUGUAUCAAGUUAGUAUUCUGUUAUUCUAUUUUUUUUUUUUUUAUUAUCCAUUUCACUAAUUUUUUUCGUUAGAUUAGUGACAAAGUUAAUAUUAAAAGGUACUAAAGUGAAUAUUCGAUAAACCUAGGUAGGGCAUCUGAAGUUUUUUGUAUAUAAUUUAACGAAAUAUUAACGGAGGAAAAAAAAAUCAGUGACAAGUUAAAACUAAAUUAGGCUACAAAAUAAAUAUUCGAAUAAUCCAUAGAUACGGGUAUCUUGAAAGUUUUUGUACUAUCUAAUUUAAUAAAAUAUUAACAAAGGGAACCGAUCGAAAAGAGAAAAAUAAAAACUACAGAUACUAAAUUUGAUACGCAUUUAAAGCUACAGUCAUGAUUAAAGUAAGAAUGCUGAAAUCUAACGGAUAUACCAAAUUGAAUAGCAUUUUAGAACUUAGAUUACUAAUAUCAAAAAAGGUACAAAAUUAUAGUGGGAAGUUUUUUUUUUUUUUUUUUUUUUUUUUUUUUGGUGGGGGUUAGAAAUGUUCAGUCGUUUCUAACUUUUGUCGAGUCGCUGAAAACGAAGCCUAAGUAAACAUACAGUGGCGGCUGUUGCCAUCGCUUUCCGUGUAAUUAACGUAAGGGCCAAAACGCGUGGCCUUUAGGUUCUUCAAUCGUAGUUAUAUUAUAUUAUUAUUAUACAUUAUAUUAUAUUGUCACCUGUAAUAAAUAGCCACACAACACUUACGCAAUUUUGCUAAAAAAUAUGUGCUCCAUUUCAUCCAUUUGCUACCGCAGACAAAAAAAAAAAAAAGAAAAAAAGAAAAAAUCUAUCGAUUCCACGCACCGAAAAAAAAUCUGGUGAUUCUGACAUUGAUUUAGACGUAAUUUGAUAAUAUGACUAUAAUUAUAAUUUUACCGUAUAAAAAAAAGUAAAAACAUUUUUUGAUAUAUUUUUAUAAAAUAAAAAUAAUAUUUUCAACCACCGUAUUACCAAAACGGACUUUAGAGACAUACUCCUACUUUCACUUUUUAUGUUGAUCUUCUUGUUUUACUGAAAAUUAUUAUUGAAUAAAAAUGAAAUCAACUGAAGCCAAAUACAAAUGCAUCCUUCCCAACCCAUUAAUAUGUUAUAUAUUAUUUCGAUUAUCCAUCGGAAUUGCUCCUCAAUGUCUCAUAUACAAAAGAGUUUCAGCGAUGAGUCGAUGACACAAACAAACAUCAUGAAUUAUUAUGUGUAUAAAUAAAUAAUAAGAGUUCCACUAUGGUGCUUUUAAAAGCACCAAAUAUUUCGUACUUGUAAUUAAUUUUUCACCGUUAAAUUUAUUUUUUUGACUGAAUCUAUCUCUUAAAUUACACUAUUCUACAAAUUACUUGUUUAAUCGUAAGAAACCACUAUUAUUCUAACUCUACAAACAUUCAUUCAAAGACCGAAAAUCUAUAAGCACCAAUGACUUGAUACUUUUAAAAGUAUAUGAGCUCAAUUCUAUAUAAUAAUAAUAAUAAUAAAAAUUAUGUAGCUUUGCAUAUUUAUCAUAUAAUAAAAUAUAGCGUAACCAUGGAACAUGGGCUAAAAAUUUGACUUAGCAUAACCCAAAAAGCCGAGAAGAAUCCGGCCCAACAAAUAUUUUAAUUCAGGCGUGACGUGGCACUAGAUUAUGAAAUGGGACACUUCACCCAACCUCAACCCUGCAUCAAAAUUCGUGAAGAUUGUAUUAGUUGGUAUCUAGUAAUAAAUAAAGAGCAAUACACACCCUAUAGUAUAGAGGUAAAAUUUACAUUCUAGUAUUUUUUCUAUGUGGCCCAUAUUUUUUUUCACUUAUAUUAUCACAAAAAACCUUUUUAACUAAAACUGUCCACAAAUUUUAUGAACUUUUUCUUCGUUUAAGAUGUAAGAAGCAAAAUAAGUCAUUAUUCCUUCUUUGUUAUAUCCAAGCGUUAUUUUUGUUAUAGUUAUUCACGAUUAAGAAUAAUGGGAAAUAAGAGUGGAACAGAUAUUUCACUCUCGCACCGGAACAAGCUUGUUCCAAAGUGGGAACAAGCUUAAUUAAAAUUUAAAUCUAAUUUUAAUUUUUGUAUUAAUUUAUUAAUUAAUCUAAUUAAUAUAUUUAAAUCAUUAUCUACUGCUUAAAGAGUUAAGUAAUCAAUUAAUUUAUCAUUUAUGGUUAAUUAACUCAUUAAAAAUUAAUUAUUUAAUCUGUUUAUCUAAUAAAUAAUAUUUAUAUUGCUCAGCUAAUUAAUAUUUUGACUAAUUAAAUUAAUUUUCUUAACAAAUCAUCUAACUAAUUAAAUAAUUUACUAAUUAAUUAAAAAGUUAAGUUAUAUUUUAUAAUUGAUUAAAUAAUUAAUGUAAUUAGUUAAUUCAUUAAUAUUUUUUUAUUAUCUUAUGCAAUAUUCAUAGCUAAUAAUUUUUUAAUUUAUUAAAUUAUUUUUAACUAAUAUUUUAAUAGCAAUUAAUUAGAUAAAAUAUUAUUAAUUUAAAAUUAUAAUUACUUUUGUUCUCGCUAUUCCAAUCAAAUCAUCUAAACACUAUUAUCUUAUUCCUGCAAACAAUCUAAUUUUCACCCAAACGAGAAAUUAUUCUUAUUCCUACUUAUUUUUUAAAUUGUACCUACAAUAAAAAAAGGUGUAUAGCGACAUUUUUAAAUGUUGGUACAUGUCAAAAAAAGUGUUGCUGGUUAAAUUACCGACACUUUUUAAAGGUAUUGCUAUAUGUGAGGUCGCUAUAUAUAAGACCGUCUUGAUGUUUGGCACCCACUCCUUCAACGACCUGCGGCAAAGAGACAUGUGGCAAUUGUAGUCCUCUACAGUCCCUGCGAGAUCCUCGCGGCCGAACUCCAGCCGCCGGAACCUUAUCCCGUCGGCUGCGGCGGCGGAGGAGGAGAAGGGGCCAGAGAUGGUGAUCAAUUUUUUUUUUUCUUUUCUAUUUGUAAUCAGACCGAGUGGGCUGGAUGGGGUUGGUUAAGUAGAGAAACUUUUUGUUUGUGAUUGGAUUGGGUUUUAGAUUUAGGUCUUAAUAGAUUUUUUAAAAAAGUUUGACAUAAAUGAUACACUUAUAUAAAAAUGUUCUAAAAAUAUAUCUCUAUAAUCUAAUUCUGUUGUAGUAAAUAAGUAAUUUUUGUUUAUUCCUGAACCACACAAUAUGUAAGUAUAAGCUGUGUAUUCCUAUGCCGGGUGUAGGGAUUAGCAUUUUAAAUAAACAAAUAAGUUAAAAAUGUAUGGAAACCCCUUUAAUUUUUUUACUUCUUUGAUUGGUUCUUUCUCUAUUUUUAAAUUUUUGUAAUCAAAUAAUUUUUAUCAACUAAAUUAGAAAUUUUAUUAAUGCACAAGUAAUAUUAUCAAAUUUAAUAGUUUGUUUAUUUUUUAGCAGAUAAAAUUAGAAAAAUUCAAACAAAUAUCUAAUAGAAUUAAGAAAUUAAUUUUUAAAAAAAUUAAUUGCGAAAAGUUAAAUAUAAAAUUUGAAAGGUGAGGAACCUCAACUCUAAAAGAGAAAAAAAAAACAUACUGGACUUACCUGCACCGUAAACCAUUCUUAGUUAUAGCUACCCAACUUUUUAAAAUUUUAAUUUUACUAUCCAAUCUUUUAAUUUAUUUGAUUUAAGUCGGUCAACAACAUUUUAACUUGAAAUUUAAAUGCGUCAUUUAGAUUUUUUAGGGUUAGUUAGUAUAACUUUAUGCAAUUCACGUAAUUAUAAAUUUAUUAAAAUAAACAAAUAGUUUAAAUUUUAAAGUCAAAAUAUUGUUCACUGGCUCAAAUUAAAUAAAUUAAAAUAUUAGAUAAUAAAAUUAAAAUUUUAAAAGAUUGAAUAGUAAAUUUAAAAUGGUAUAUAAUUCAGGAAAAUUCUGUAUUAUUUUUACAAAAAAAAAAGAUGCUCAUUUAAACGAGUCUAUAGUUGAGGGGCUCUCCAUACAUUUUCAUCCUCAAUAAAUAAACCGAUGGCGGGAAAAAAAAUGGAAGCUUCCUGGAAACGCGCCACGUGUCCCCCGUGAUUCAAACUAUCUAGAUGUUACUAGCAAAUCCACGAACACGGACACUUGUGUUAACUACACACCAAAACGCUAAUGGACACAAAAACGUACCAACAAAACUACCCCAACAACGAGAAAGUAAGGCACCAAAUACUCAAAAUCCCCCUUAACUAACUAUAAUUACAUUGGCUGCGACUAGUCUAAUUUUUUUAAAUUGAAAUGAUUUUAAAUAAAUUAAUGAUUUUACUAAAUUGAUUUAUUAAUUAGUAAUAGCGAAUUGAUCCAUAAAGUUUAACAAAUUUUAACUUAAUAAACUGUUAAAAGUAAACCAAAAAAAAAAAUUUUGAGGUGGAGGGGUCAAAUUCAAGAAUCGAAAUUGUUGAGGGGAUUUUCACCUUCGUUUAAGAGAGGGGUGUUAUGUGGUAAGCGUAGUAGAGCAUCUCAAAUUCUCAAUUCUCUCAAACGGUCGAGCGAUCGCACCGUCGCCAUGGAGAAAACCAACACGAUAAAUACUCGUGCUAAUCACCUCCACCGUUCUCCCAAAUCGCACAAAACCCUAGCGAAAACUCUUAAAGGUAUCGUUUUUAUCACCUUUUUCCCGCUGUUUACUCGUGUUAAUGGUGAAAAAAUUGCGUUUGUAGUGUAAAUUUUCUCAUCUCGGUGAUGAUUUUGAUGGUGCUCUUAGGGUGUUCGACGAAAUGGGUAGCUCAGGUUCCUCAUGGAAGUUGGUGGAGAAUUCGAAGUUUCCGAAGGGGAAAAUUGUAGCAGUUGUGGUUUUGGAUGGGUGGGGAGAAGCUGAUCCCGAUGAGUUCAAUUGCAUUCACCUCGCCGAGACACCGACGAUGGAUUCGCUCAAGAAGGUAAUAUACAUAUGUGUUUGUUUGAUCGAUUCUUGUGUGCAUAGAUCAUUUUCUUUAUUGAUUUGGUUAUGGAAUGUGCUCUUGUAUUAUGGAUUAUGGAUCUCUGAAGUGUAAAAUUUGGUACUGUGAUCUAUACGGGUCUGAUUCCUGAAAAAAGGGGGGAGGGGGGAAAGUUAUCUGAUUAGUAAGUAAUUUGAUGGUUAAAAGGAGUAAAUUUGUUCUUCUUACUGUGUUAUUAUUAUAUUCUCUUACUGUUCAAUUGAAAUCUACAAGCUAAAUCAGUGCUUUUAUUAAGUUGGUGUUAAAUUGGUGGUAAUAAUCUUGGUAGUAUGGUAGUAUACUAGUAUUCAUUAGCUUAUAAAUGAAUUUUGAUGUCGUGAAUUUGGUGAUUUUGUGUUAUGAAAAUUACUGUUCUACAUAUGUGCUAAAUCACAGUAGCCAUGGAAAAAACUUCUAAGAGGUCUUAGAGAUUGUUAGUUAUUUCCUCUGAUCAUAUGAAUGGUUAUAUGAUCAGAGAGAAUAUUUUGAAGGGUAAAAUGUAUGGAACUCCCCGUUCUAGACCAAUAUCGCAAUUUCGUCCUUGAAUUUUUCACUUAAACACAUAUUCCCUCAAGUUUUUCACAAAUUGUAAUUUCAUCCUUGGCCUCUGAGACUCUCUGUAAGGGGACCUUUCUAACCCUGUUUCGACUAAAUUGAAACAAGUUAAUCAUUUUACAAAAGUAAUAAAAUGGCCAUUUGGUGGUCAUUUUACAGGAAAAGAACUUCCGGUUUUAUUUUUACAGUCAGCGAGGAAAUUUUAAUACAUGGAAACCAGAUCUUUAUGUGAAAAAUUUUAGAGACAGGACAGAACUGGACUAUUUAUAUAUUUUUCCCUAUUUUGAAUUUGAAUUUUAUACUCAUCUCAUGUAUGUAUACAUAUUAUAGCACUGUUCAUUUCCUCUCUAUGCAUAAUACUGUAAUUGCACUAUAUAAUCAUAGGGUGCACCGGAGAAAUGGAGAUUACUAAAGGCUCAUGGAACAGCAGUGGGGCUUCCUACAGAUGAUGAUAUGGGAAAUAGCGAAGUUGGUCACAAUGCACUGGGCGCCGGACGAAUAUAUGCCCAAGGGUGAACUGUGCUCUGUUUUAACAUUAGAAAUUUUUGCCAAGUUCUUCUAAUCGUUUUAACAUUCCAUUCCAAAUCAGAAAGGAUAUUCAGAUUUCAUCAGAAUGAAAUGUACAGAAGAAAUUUUCAUUUAACUCAAUGCCGCAGCUUCUUUAAAGAUAUCUUUGAUUAAAGAUAUCUUUGAUUCUUUGUUGUGCAUGUUCUCUGUACUUCGUUUUGCAAACCAAGUGAAAGUUCUUUUUCAAUUGCAGUGCUAAGCUAGUAGAUAUGGCACUUGCCUCUGGAAAGAUAUAUGAAGGGGAAGGCUUUAAAUACAUCAAAGAAUGCUUCGAUAACGGUACUUUGCAUCUAAUCGGGUUACUGAGCGACGGGGGCGUCCACUCACGGUUUGAUCAACUACAGGUGUGCAUGAAUUGUCAUGUUCUUUGAAUAACUUAGCUUUUUUUCUUUUGUAAUCCCAAUUAAUGAUGAUGUUAUAUUAUUGCAGAUGUUCCUGAAAGGUGCUUGUGUGCAUGGUGCCAAAAGGAUCCGCGUUCAUAUCAUUACAGAUGGUCGUGAUUGCCUGGACGGUACGAGUGUGGGCUUUGUAGAAAUGCUUGAGAACGACCUUGCAAAGUUAAGGGAGAAAGGCGUCGAUGCAAGAAUUGCUUCUGGUGGGGGCCGCAUGUAUGUUACCAUGGAUCGCUAUGAGGUAAGACUAGCAACUCUACAUUUACGAAUUAUCAGCUACUUGUUGUUGUUGAUUACAAUGGUUUUGGUUUUAUAUGUAAUGCUGAAGUACUUUGUGUUAAAAUUGAAAAAUUGAUUUGGUCUUAAUGCACAAUGCUUUUUGGAAACUAUACUUACAGUUGCCUUCCUACAAAUCAAUUCGAAGCAAAUUUGUCCUUUUUCUCUACUAGGGGUUAGCAUUGGUUGGUUCAGUUCAAUUUUCUAGAGAUUUCUUUACAAACUAAACAGUACCGAAUUAUAGAGAUAAAUCUAAAGAUUCUAAUAGUAGGUGGAAAAUCUUUUCAGAAAUGAGUUGGUAGCGAAAGAAAUCUCCACAUGUUUCAUAGAUUGAUGUCCAUAUUAUGUUCUACACAGAAUGACUGGGGAGUUGUUAAGCGCGGUUGGGACGCCCACGUACUCGGUGAAGCGCCACACAAGUUUAGAAGUGCUAUUGAAGCCGUAAAAAAGCUUAGAGAGGAUCCCAAAGCCAAUGAUCAGUACCUGCCUCCAUUUGUUAUAGUCGAUGAGAGUGGAAAACCAGUUGGACCGAUAAUGGAUGGUGAUGCCGUUGUGACAUUCAAUUUCAGGGCCGAUCGGAUGGUUAUGAUCGCUAAAGCUCUGGAGUAUGAGAAUUUCGACAAAUUCGAGCGCGUGAGGUUUCCGAAGAUUCACUAUGCUGGAAUGCUUCAGUAUGAUGGUGAAUUGAAGCUCCCAAGUCACUAUCUCGUUUCUCCUCCAGAGAUAGAGAGAACAUCCGGUGAAUACUUGGUACAUAACAGCAUCCGUACUUUUGCUUGCAGGUAUUAUGAUUUUCGAUAUAUGAGAAUUUUGUGCUUUUGUAGCUUAGGGCCAAUUUAGUCUGACUAAAAUUUCCGCUGAAGUGUUAUUUGAGUAGUGCUAUUAGCAUCCAUAUUUUCAGUAAAAUUCUCCCGGCUUAUUGAGCUAAGAAUUUUACGUUAACUUCUGAAGCUCUAGACUGCUGACAUUGUUUACUGAAGGGAAAACGUGAACUGCUCUUGCUCUCCUUUCGUAUACAUUGCUGAUACAUGAACACUCUAAAGUUGUCUAUUAUAUCAUUUUCUGACAGUGAGACUGUCAAAUUCGGCCACGUGACUUUUUUCUGGAACGGAAACCGUUCCGGGUAUUUCAACCCUAAUAUGGAAGAAUACUUCGAAAUUCCAAGCGACACUGGGAUCACAUUCAAUGCGCAACCGAAAAUGAAAGCCCUGGAAAUUGCUGAAAAGGCUAGGGACGUGAUCCUUAGUCGCAAGUUCCAUCAGGUGAAGUAUUUUCUGUUAGAAAUUUAAAUUUCUUUUGCGGUAAAUCUGAAUUUCGCUACCCUAUAUUUGCAGGUCCGCGUCAACCUAGCAAAUGGAGACAUGGUGGGUCAUACUGGUGAUAUCAAGGCAACGAUUGUCGGUUGCAAGGCUGUUGAUGAAGCAGUUAAGGUGUGUAUGGAUGCUCGCUAGUUAUAACUUCUUUGAUCACUAAUUCAGAAAAAAAAUAAAGUAGGUAUGCAGCGGAAACCAAACUUAGAACCUCUUGAAAGAUCCGAGGGUUUUAGGACCGACUCUGAUGCCAUACUACCCAAAAGAUCAAUUUAGUAGGAAACGGUUGAGAACUAGUUUUAAACAUCCAAUAUAAAGCAUCACGGUAGGGAUUCUUUUUGUUGUUUUUUCUUGUUCCCAGAUUGUUCUUGACGCGAUUGAUCAAGUGGGCGGGAUUUAUCUAGUCACUGCUGAUCAUGGGAACGCCGAGGACAUGGUAAAAAGAGACAAAUCUGGGAAGCCGCUGCUCGACAAAAAUGGGAAUGUUCAACUGCUCACCUCUCAUACUCUUCAUCCAGUAAGCUUAAAAGUCCUUCCUUUCUUUCUGCAUACAAUCAUUCUAUCUGAAACUGCUGGGAUCUCCUUAUUUCUAGCUUCUCGUUUGCAUAUUUCAUUAAAAGAAUGCAAAAACGUACAAACCUAUUUGAAUUAUGAAUCAUUUUGAUUUAGCUAUCCAUCAUUUCAAAAUUUUGAUUGUACUAUUCAUCUUUUUUUAAUUUGUUUGACUCGAGUCUUUUAACCGCGCUUUGACUUUUAAAAUUUAUAUGUGACACCUAUCUUUACAAGAUUUAGUUAGUAUACUUUAUAUAAUUCUCGCAACUAUAAAUUUAUUAAAAUAAGUAAUUAGAGUUUGAUCCGUAAUUCAAAUAAGUUUUGUACGUUUUUUCCUUAAAGGAACUUGGCAUUCUAAUCUCCUUAUCGUCUAACAAACAAAACCUUAAUAGGUUCCGGUUGCGAUCGGAGGCCCCGGGCUUAGACGAGGCGUGAGGUUCCGGGAAGAUUUGCGGAACGCCAGCCUCGCCAACGUUGCUGCGACAGUGAUGAAUCUCCAUGGGUUCGACGCCCCGAGUGACUAUGAACCGACCUUAAUAGAAGUCGUCGACAGCAACUGAGACAUACUAUCAAAUGAUGCAUUGACAAGUUUAAUUCCUCCUACGUUCCCGUGUGUAUAAAAUGUAAACCAGAAUAAAGUUGGUUGUUUGAAGGCAAAACCCCCUGAAGUUUGGAAAUUUUAAGAAAGUGCUCGGCUUUUAGAUCUUAUUCGAUCUUUGACUCUGGCAAAUACCUACUUCGUGUCUCAUAAAAUAAAUUUUAAGAACAUUUUAUUAAAAUUUCUAUAUAUGCCUAUCCGAAUAAAAUUUAAUUUUGCUAUUGUAGCUUUCAAAAUUUUAAUUUUGCUAUCCUAUCAGACCUUUCAAAUGUUUAAUUAGUUGUCAGAAUUAUAUAAAAUAUUCUUACUAAACUUAUAAAAAUAAACAACAAAUUCAAAAUUUGAAGAUAAAAUGUUAGUACAAUUGAAUAGUAAAAUUAAAAUUUUAAAAAAUUAUGUAACCAACUCAAAAUGGCCUAUAGCUCAGCUACAUUCUGUGUUUAUAGCUAAUGUUUUCUUUGGUUGUUUUUUGUGCGUGUGUUUGUGCGCGCGCCGCAGAGAGAGUUUGAGGCGACUACACCAACACAACACUUUCUAGAAACCCAACGAAACAACAUAUGUUACUCAGGAGACGGGGCCUGGUGGGGGUUAAAUAACUUACUUAGAAAAUGGGUUGUGCAUAAUACACAAGAUCAACCGAGGGUGUAUGAUACAUUAUAAAAGACCAUGAAAAUGUGCUGAAGUGUUUACCUAGGUUAGGUAUGAUACAUUACAUUUUCACAGUAAGAGCCAACAACGAUAUAACCAGUUUUUUUUAGCAAAACAACAGCGAAAACCGGAUAGUGCAUCAAUUUUUGAAACAGAGAUGGCAUCUACACACCUGACAUCGAUGAGGGGAAACACCGAUCAUCAGAUUUUCCUCAAGUGCAAGAUUCAGGAAUAUAGUGUAAGAUUGAAUAAGACUAAUGAAGCUGAAACUAGGGGCUAACACAUUAAAAAAAAAAAGGAGAUGAUUUUUUACAUAGUUUCAGUGGAAUGUAGCUGAACUUUAGGUGAGGGAGCAUGCGAUUCCCACAACAUCUCAUAACAUAAUGAACUGAAGCAGAUAGCGGAUUGCGCUGCAGAAUGAUUCUAAUUUAGCAAAACCAUAUAGGGAGAAAAUGUACCUUUAAGUAGGCUCUUUAACCGCUGGUCAACUUUCAGUCCUUACGCCCUACAUUCUCUUCUGAUGGGCCGCCUGGUCCGUCUCAUCUCUGUUUGUGAUGCUCCGUGCGCUAAAACUUUGUAAAUAUUGGACCUUGGGGCUUGCCAAAGGUAACCCAACAGAAAGUGCGCUGGCGAAAACCUAGCCAACAAUUAUUUGCAAGUAGAACAAGGCUCAAAAUACUUGGGCCCAAGUUUGUCCAGGAAUAUAGACCAAUUAUUUUUCCAGGCAAUCAUCAGAUGUGGGAUUACUAGAGCCUGAAAACUUCCCCAUUUUAAUUCUAACAUCCUUAUAAGUGGGAUUUGCACCUGUAACCUUCCAUUACACGUCCAGGUAGGAUUUUGGCUAUCGUAUGAUGUUGCCGUCGCACUUGGGCUUCUAUCUUCCAUCUGAUCGAGGGUAACACUUAGGAUGCGGAGUCAAGUAGCCACACAUACUGGUACAACUAGGGGUAGACUGGCCUAGCAAAUAACUUGAAGGAGCAAGUCUUAUACAUGUAGCACAAAAUGCAUAAGCCCAAGUUUCAAGCACUAUCAUGUUAAUCUUCAUAUUUAUAAAGUACUUCCCUACUUCCCUAAUCCCAAACAUCUUCGGAUGUAGGACUAAUGUGCGACAUGAGGUUCGCAAAGGUGUUGUAAUCCUAAGAAUGCUAAAGGAAAAUAUGAUACGUACAGCCUUUCAAUGGAUCAGAAUGCUUGUUGGAAAGAUGAACAAUAUACACUAACAGUGAAAGCCCAAAUUUAAUGCAAAAUGAUGAGCAUUUACCUGAUAAGUUCUCAUGCAUCCCACAGAUGUCAAUCUCCCUCUCGCUUAAAUUUCCACAAUCAAAAUUUCCACUCAACAGGGUCUUCUGACAACCAUUGCCCUUUGAUUGUUGGGAAGCUUUGCCCUGAUAACGAGCCCAAGUUCUUCAUAUUUGCACCUUUAGAAUCCUGGAGAUCAUUCUCUCUUUUGGAGAAAAUACAUGGGCCAACCAAAUCAGUCACAUUUGCCUCUCACUUACUCUUCUGGGCAAACUUCAACAGCCUCCUCAAUCCUUGGGGAGCAUCUCUCUGAUAGAUCAAGGAGGAAUCUAUGUAUUUCCCCACUCAACGAUUUCCGGUUCAUUACAGUCAGCUUCAACCAUCUGCGAUUGUGAAUGUUGGAUCCCAGGGAUUAUUGAUGAAAUUGGUGCGACCCCCAUGGAAACAGCAUUAAUUAACAAGCCAUUUUCACAUGAAAAAGGAACUCCGUGAUGUUCGACUUCCACCCAUGCAGAUGUGGAGAUGCCGGUAUUGUUGUAAUCUUGUUGGAUCUCAGCUGCAGAAACUUUGACUAGCUCCUUAUCCAAGCCUAUCUUCUGAUGCAGCUAAACUCUGGUCCAGAAUCUCUGUCAUUUGAAUAUUCAAGUCAUUAUAUAGUGAAAUUUGUAAAUUUGCAUCAACAACAUUUGCUGUUUGAGCAAGAACAAUCUCUGAUACCUUAGUAUUUGCCUUAGUUGUGACAGAAGCAUCGGUUUUGUGAGAAUCAUCAGCUCAAGAAUCUUUGCUUUUGCCUAAAGAAGGGGAUACUGCAGGACCAGUUCCAGCGCCUUUUCUCAAUAAGGUCUUUUGUUCAACUGGUAUGCCACUGCUCUUCUUUGUGACUCUGCUCGAGAACUUUGGAUUUGCUGUCGCAUUAGAGUCGUAAUCCAAAGCUGGUUUAUUUACAGUUUUCGCAUUUCUAGAUUUUGUCCCUGCACUCAGCUUCGGAUCUCCUCUGCCUUCAAUGGCUGGCUUGUUAUGAGUCAAAGUUCCUCUCUUGGCUUUUACUUGCUGUGUAGAUCUCUCUGCUUUGGGACUAGGCUGAACUGAGGAAGGUGAUGUCUGCGUCUUUUUGAGACGCGUCGAAAUGGAACCAGUAUAGGAUUUAUGUGGUUGAACUCCCAUUGAUUUUGGUGACGGUACUGAUGACCUUGAACUACGUGCAGCUGGCGGCAAUGGAGAAUUUAGAGAAGGCCUUCUGGGUGCAGCUGUUUUUGAAGCCUCCUUCGUGGAUAAGACAGGUGGAGCUGAGUUUCGCCAUGCUCUUUGGGAAUGAGUCAACGAUAUAUUCUUUCUAGUAGUAUCGUCCUUUUUUAUGGCCGUCUCUGCUUUUCUUUGCCCAAGAGUUUUCUGUAGAACUUUAUUUCGUGCUUCCUUUGUUGCUUGCUUUCCUACGCUCUCAGCUUUAAGUUUCUCAUCUCUUUUCUCCUUGUACGGAGCAUAGAAAUCUCCUUUUGGCUCAUCAAAGAUUUCAUUAAUGUCUCUGUGCUUGCCGGGUUGACUCUCCAUCAUUUUCAUUAGCAUCUGAUUAAGUUCAGCUUCUCUCUGGCGGUUCCAUUCAGCUGAACCGGUUGAUCGACCACCAAUUUCCUCCUGUUGUGAAUUCACUAAAUCCAUUGGACUACUAAUUGGAGGGCAAAUAUCAACUUGGGAUUUCACAAUCUCAGGUGGGUCCAAACUGUUUUCUGGAGCAGCAGAUUCGACAUUCACUUCGACUACUUUCUUCUCCUCUUCCUCAGGAAGUAGAUUAAAGGAGGUGCUUUCAGAAGCAGCAUCUAAGCGUCUUUCCUGUGACCGAUGUGCCAAAGAAUCACUUGUACCUGCACUCCACCUUCUCAAUACAGACUUAUUAGUACUGUUAGAUGCAUCUCCCGAGGCUCUUUUCUGUGUAUCUGAACUCUGAUCCUUUUGUUUGCUCUCAAAGAGACUGAUUGCAUCUCGGACGCUCAUCAUUCUGACUGUGCUCUCAGGCUUCUUUGUAGACAGUUCAAAUUCUUCGUCACCAUUUUCAUUGUCGCCAUCAGUAUCCCUGUUAAUGGAAAUUCUUUCUCUUGCAGGGAACAAAUUAAGGCUCUUAAUGGUAAGAGCUGUUGACCUACGGGAUCCAGACCUACCAAUCUGGAUUCGUCUCAUUGGAGAGGCUGAUCUUCUGUGUGGUGCAGUUCUUACAAAAGAACGGCUUCUUUCGACAGCUCUUUGAUCUUCAUCACUCCAGUCAGAAGACUCGCCGCUCUCUGUUGGGCUCAUACGCUCAACUUGUGCAAGUUUUGCUGGGGAGAUAACAACAUGCUCAGCAUUACCAGCUUGUGAAUAUGACUGAGAAGUCUCUAAUGGAUAUUCAUUCAUUUCUUUCGAAUCAUAAGAAAGCUGUAACGGUCCACGUGAUAGUUCUGCAGGUUGGUUGGUAGAGAUCAUCGCCAGAUAGUUCGCCAACAAAUUCCUACAUAUAAGAAAUAGAAAGGAUUAAAUUACUGGAUUGUACUAGAAAUCUCAACAAGAGAAAGACGCAGAUAAUUUAGAAUGCAUAAAUUCAAUAUGGAUCAGAAUUGAGGGAAGCUAAAAAGUAAUAAUCAAGUCUGCAAAACUAUUCCAGAUAAACUUCAAUCAUUAGUUUGAAGAUGAAUGCAAUUAGAAGAUUGUAGGAGAUACGGAGUUCUCUUGAUCUGUCAUGUUCAUUUUUAUCUUAAUAGCUUCUUAGCAUAGGAUGAACAACGUAAUCAAUGUAUAUGGGAUGACUCGCAGGACACUGCCUAAAAACACAUUUGACUAGCCCUAUUAAAUAGCACGAAUCUACAUAUUAACAUUCCAUUUAUUACAAAAUUUCUCCAGGGAGUAACAUUGCCAGGGAGGGAAAAGAUACCGUAAUUCCAUAGCUCCAAAAUGCUGAGAAAAUGCAAUUAGAUCAGAGAUGUGCUUGGUGGACAAAAUGGAACCAGCCGCUCGAUUGAGUGAAGUCACCAUAUCUUCUUUUAAUGCUGUCAAUCUCAACUCCAAUGCUUGAAGCAAUUCAUUCCUGACAGUUGUCAUCUUGUUAAAAUGAGUGGAUAGGAGGACAUAAAAAUGGUAACUGAAGGGGAAAAAAAGAUAAAUGAGAGAAUAGUUACUUUGUAGCAUCCGAAGAAAUUGUUUCGCCUCUCAUCUGAAAAUUAUUACACCAAAUGAACCCUUAGCAGCUAAAAUAUUUAGAAAAUGGAAGUUUGAAGAAAUGGCAAUUACCUGUUCAGUCACUCUUAUGUCUUUCAACAAGCCACCUGUUACAGAAUAGAACUACAACACUGAGCACUAGUAUUGCAAUUUUAAACACAAAAAGAUGAUCGAUAUGGAAAAUAUAGGAAAAAAUUGUCACUGUUCUCAAUCUUUUAUAAAAGUAUGUAACUUAUCAAAAAUUAUACGUUAUAUUAGUAUGAGUUGAGUAAAGCAUAUUUCCUUCUGUGCAGAAACUAAAAAGCACUAUUAAACAAAACAAAAUAUGCAUGAACAAUCGAUAUACUGAGAACUUUUAGCUAUACCAGACUAGAAUAGAGGCACACAUCUAAAAGCUUGCCAACACUGUUGUCUGAUAAAACAUAAACAAACCAAUAAAAUCUAUAAGACAACUGCCGAUAAGAGCAUCCAUCAGCAACAUUGCUAAACUAAGCUAGUGGGAACAAUCUUCUAGUUUAAGUCACAAAUAGCCACACCGCAUCCGAGAUGAUGGAAAAUUUUCUAUGUCAUAAGUCCAUCAAUUAUUGCCAGAAUCUCAUAAUCUUAGACAGUCCCCAAAAAAGGCAAAUUAUUUAACUAAAAUUAGAAGACAAACCAUGAAAAAGUCUAAAUAUCCAAUAAAAUAGAUAACUCACAUGUACCUGCUAAUCCAACAUCCACGUGGUUCAAAUCGUCCUGAUAAAGAACAAAUAUCUGGUUAUUAAUGAGUUCAGAUAAAUAAGGUUCCAGAGACAACGAUUUAAACUUCAGAGAAGUCGCUCUACCUUAGAAUAAAGAGAAAGAUGGAACUUCCUAGUUUCCUCCAACUGUGACAUCUCGCUUACAGUUCCACUGGCUGAUAAUAAAGCCUCAGGGGAGCCAACAAUAUGUAAAAAUCUAGAGGAAAAACUUUUAUCAGCAUUCAUUCCAGUAAAACAAAGUGUAGUCAUAUCAAAGAAUGCCUUCCAUUGCACCUACAUUGCAAGGGUGGAUUUGUUGAACCAAGAUGAACCUCGAAGUGCUCGCUUUGGUUCUAAAAUAAAGGUGCCAUUUGAUGAAUCAGACUGAAAUUGUUUUGCUUCUAAUAAAUACUGCGAUAGCUGAUCAAGAGAACCAGAUGCAAGCUUUUCUGUUCUGCCUUUACUGCAAAUAACCACCUCAUACCUGUGCAUCAUUUUUGUAAAAGAAGAAAAAGAAGGAAAAGAACGUGGUUGAGUUCAGCAUAGCCAUAACCGAGCAAAUAGUAAAACUCAUAUAGAUAUACAGAUGGAGCUACUCAUGUACUCCAAUAUUGCAGACGGUGUAAUCAAAGCAACAAGAUUGAGGUAUAGUGGCAAGAGAAUAAUAUCAAUUUAGCAAACAUCUAGUAUUUUAUUACUCACCUGUUUUGGGUUGAUGAUAUCUGGAAAGAGGCAUAAUCGAGCUUUGCAUUUACAUCUAUCUCUCCCUCCAUUUUGUAAUGUGCAAAACUCUUGAAGAUUUUAAUUCUCUUCUGAGCUGUCUCCAAAAUAGUCUCACUUCAGGGUGACUAUAUGAAAAUAAUAUAUGUAAAUCCUCAGACCAACAAAAACAACAACAUAUAAGAAAAAAAAAAUAAUUGCACUUACUUUUCUAGAUAUAUGCACCUAAAUCAUUAAACUAUUUGUGACAUGGUAAGUACUAACAAGUAUGUGAUAUGAUUUAGCUAUUUUAAUGAUUCCAAAAGCAACCAAGAGGAAAAGAAGAUAAUUACAGAGGUUAACUCAAUAACUUCAAUACGAGAAUCUUGAAAAUUAACCACAGAAAAUAUUUGAGCUUAUUGAUCCUAACACAGUCCAAGAACUUGCACCAAGAAUCUAUUCUACAAAUUCAGAGUGACUUUUAUAUUCUGGAAUCUAUUUUGCUUAAUACCCCAGAAGACCAAAGAUGAAGCAUGUUACAAUCAAACAUCCUGGGAAAGGAUUUUAACAAUCAGACGCUACAAAGGAUAUUACAAAUUACAAUCAAAAGCAAGUUACACUCUUUUUAUUUCCUGUUUAAAAGACUUGAUUGCAGCAUACUCAAACUUACAGAUACCCACUUCAGAGACCCAAGAAAACCCAAAACCAAAUGAUUUGAAAUUAAAAAAUAAAGUAAUGAUAACAUCAUCUAAAUUUCUAGCCAAGACAACCUUCAGAUCUUUAUUAUCUCAAUACCAAAAUCCAGGCACGCGUAUUUAAGGAAACAGAUGUAGCAUUAGAGAAACCUUUUCCUAAUCCAACACCUCUAAACUCGCCGAUCCGAGCCAAACAAACCUAAAAUAUCCAAGAAUCCAACAUCACGAAGCAUCAAGAUGCCUCCUUUCCACCCCAAAUCUAACAGAAAACCAACCACCAGAUCCCACAACCAAAUCAAACCAAAUGAAACCCCUGAGAUCUAACGCACAUUGCCCAAUCCCUCCGCAAAAACGAGACAUCUACCAAAAUCACACACCAAAAAGGGAAACCCCCCCACCGACACCUCCAAAACAGCAUCAAAAACAGGAUAAAUCGCGAAACCCCAAGAGCGAGUCGGCGCGAGAUUACCAGAUCUGGUCGAAACCCUAGCAGGUCGCUUUCGCUUCUCUUCGGAGUCGAAUCGAUUCCUACGAAGAGUGAAGGAGAAGAUUCUAGAGAGAGAAAGAGAGAGAGAGAGAGGGAGAGAGAGAGGAGUGGGAGUGGAGGUGGGGGAAGAGGAGUAUAAAUGGCGGAGCUCGGAUGACGCAUCGGUAACUGUAUCGUUGUCGUAUUUACGGUUUUACCCCUGGUUCGGAUGCGCUUUUGUCAAAUGGACGGAAAUGCCCCUGCAUGCUAUUUUAUUGACCGAAAUGUCCCGCUUCGCGGUAGUCAGAUAGUGCGCGAGUGGGCAAACAUGGACCGCGGCGCGUGGUCCCCAACCGUUGGAUCGGACAGUUUUUUUUUUGACGUGGAAUUUAUAUUUAAUUAAUUCUACUAAUAAUUUUAAAUGACAAUUAAUUUAAAAAAUUGUUUCUAUAUUUUUAAUAUAAAAUAAAAAUAAUUUUAUUAUUAAUUAAUAUUUUAUGGAUAAUAUCUAUUAGAGUGAAUGGUAAUGCAACAAAUACCCUCAUGAUGUGUCCGGUUCGAGUUAUAUAAUAUUACAAGUUAUUUCGACAUAAUCAGAUAUUUGAAAUUUCUGUAUCAGAUUACUAAUGAAACUGCAUUAUCAUUUUUGAUUUAAUUCAAUAAUAAUAUAAUGCUGAAUUACAGUAUAUAUAAAAUUAUUAUGUUUAGUUUAUUUGAUAAAAUUUAAUAAUCCUAAUAAUAAACUGUAGUCUAUUCCUUAAUUACCCUUACGAUCAUAUUUGGCAAACCAUGAAAUUUAAAAUGUGACUAUAAAACUCGAAUAAAAUUUAAAAUUUAAAUUUUAAAUUUUAAAAUUAACUUGGAUUCAGAUCAAGUUCGGAUUCAGGUAGAUAUAGACAAAGCUCAUAUCCAAAUUUCAUUCCGUCAGAUUUUCAUUCUCUAUACUUAUUCAUAUGCGAAAUCACAUUCAUAUGCAGAUUUGGUAUCAAAUAAACCAUUUUCAUUCGAAUCUGAGUAAGUUCGAGUAAAAUUACAUAUAUUCGUACCUAUUGGCAUCCGCACAACGGUCUGAAACUAAAAAAAAAAAAAAAAAAAAAAAAAAAAAAAAAAAAAGGGGGGGGAAAAAGAGAAAAGGUGAAAAAUCUAAUAAUAAUUUGGUUCAAAAUUAACCAAACUCACGUACUAAGUAAUAAUAAUAAUAAUAAUUAAUUAUUAAUUAGCGUCACUAGCUAGUGUUGAUUGUUGAUGGAGCACUCGGAGGAGGAUCCAAUCAACAAAUGAGCCAGCCUUUCUUGCGUGUUAUCGAAGAAUAACAACAUUAGAUUAGAGGGCGCAUGUGGGCUGUCCGAAACUUUUCUCGCACGUUGCUUGUCCUGCAGCACAUGCUUGCUUUCUCGUGCGCGUUGAGACGAAGCGCUUUUCUCCCAAGUCCAUAUCUAUCCGACUAUCCCACUAUGUUACGCAUGACAUCUAUGUACAUUAUUCUUUUCUGGUAGCAUUUGGUUCGGAUAUAAAUAAGAACUAAUUAUUACAAAAAUAGAUACAAAUAUGGGAUAAAAAAAAUAGUGUUUGGAUGAAAAUAAUGUUUAAAUAGAUAAUAUGGAAUAAGAAAAAUAAUGGAUAGUUAUAUGUAGAAAAUGGAGGUGUUGGUGACUUGGUAGGGAUAGUUAUAUCAGAUUAUUUUAGAUAAUCGAGAAUUACUAUUCUUGGAUAAAAAAUUUGUGUUUGGGUAUAAAGGGAGGGAUAAGGGGUUAUCGCUCCACUUAUUCCUAAUCCAAACAUUGCCUCUAAAUUUACUAUAUGAUAAAAAAAAAAUUUAUUAUUGAUUAUGAGUUAAUUUCACCCUAAACCAACUUAAAUUUUCUACAUUUUUUUUUAUUUACUUGAACAAAAUCAAAAUUUUCUUUUUUUCGAUUGAAUCGAACUGAAUUUUUCUCGUUUUUUGCUUGAACCGAACCAAUCAUUAUUGAGUGUGGGAUUCUCAAACCGGCUCAAGUCCUCCGCAUGUUAAUAAUCUCUUUCUUUGCUUAAACCAAACCGGAUUUUUCUCAUUUCUUGUUUAAACUAAACCGAAUCACAUCUCUACAUUAGACCGAGCUGUUCCUCUUCCACUUUUUUUUGGUUGUUACCUUCCUUCAUCGGUAAGAUGAAUCCCAUCUCUUAUCAUUGUUGCUUUUAUCGUUAUUAUCUCUUUCUUUGUUGUUGUUUUUUAUUUUUUUCUCUUAUUAUCUAUCUGUUUUAUCGCACGAAUUAUUACACUCGUAUAUACACUAUUUCAGCAGCUUAAUUAUAUCUCCACUAUAUAUCUAAUAAUAUGCUAAAUUAUAGAAAAUUUUUUUAUAAAUAUUGAUUUUUUUUUCUAACUUUCAAAAGCCUAUAUUUUACCCUCUGAACAUUUCAAGUUGUUAUAUUUAGUCCCCCCUUUAUCAGAAUUCCAUCACUAUUCCGUUAAUUUCUUAUAAUUUAUACUGAAAAUACUCUUCAAAAUAAUAGAAAUAUAUUAAAAAUUUAAUUUUUCUUAUAAAAGAUGUAAGAACAAUUUAAUUAUUUUACCCUCUCCAUUAAUGUCAUACUUUUCUAAAAAUAUUUUUAAAAUUUUAAAAAAGUAAAAUAUAGAUUUUUGAAAGUUAGAGAGAAAAAAAAAAAAAGAAUUAUAGAGGGUUUUUUUUGUAAUUUAGUCCUAAUAAUAUCAUAAUAGAGUAACCCACCAUACUAGGGCCUAUAUAAUAUAUUUAUUUUAAAAGUACGUUUGAAAUAAAUUAUAGUAAAAUUUUUUAUAUGUCUUUGGCGACUAAAAUUUAUAAUAUUUUAAAUUUUACUAUACCAUAAAUAGAGUUUUUUAUAUAAUUUUUAAAAAGUUGGGAGAGUCAGGGCCGCUGCGAGAUUUUAAGUUCGAAGUCUAACUACUUCACAUUUCUACUUAAUUUUAUUUCUAUAUUUAAAAAAAAAUAAACAAAGUGGGUAGUUAGCUAUAUUUUUCUAAAAAAUUAUAUUGUGAAAGAGUAAUGUUAUACCUGUAUUCGAAUUUUAAAAUAUUUUACCGAUAUGUUUAUAUGAAAGAUUUUAAUUAGAUGAUUGACAAAAUUUGCAGAAAGAUGUUGAAUAUAAAUAUUUAGAAACAUAAUUCUCUAAAAAUUUAAGCUUUUGGAGAAUUAUGAUUAUUUUUUAUUUUCUAUCAUGAUAUCAAAGCAUUUUGUCUUGAACUCAGACGUGAGAAAAAGCUAGCGUUGACUAUAAAAGUAUUUAAAAAAUAUUAUUGUCUAAAAAGCUUAAAUUUUUAGAGGACUAUAUCUGUUUCACAUUCUUUAAUAUAGAAUAGUGGUUUAAAUUCUGAUGCGGACACUCUUUUUCGAAUUUUUUUGCAACCAUGACCGUGAAAAGCUCUUUUUCUUUUUUUGUGAUUUGUGGCUAGAAAGAUCUGUAGAGUUACGAGAAAAAACGAUAAAAAAAUAUUUUAGUUGCUUCUAUAAAUAAUAUAUAUUAUAAAUCACACAAAAAAAAUCCAAACCUUUUAGGUAAAAAAAAGGUAAAAAAAACAAAACUUAUCUAGACUAUGAAUUAUUUUGAAUCGACUAUGUAAUUUUUUAAAAUUUUGAUUUUAUCAUCCAACCUUUUAAUUUGUUUGAUUUAAGUCGAUCAAAAAUGCAUUGACUUUAAAAUUUAAGCUAAUUAUUUGCUGUAAUGAAUUUAUAAUUACGAAAAUUAUAUAAAGCAUACUAACUAAACCUAAAAAAAUAAACAAUACUUUCAGAAUUUAAAAUCAAGGUAUAUAUCGCCAAUCGACUCAAACCAAACAAAUUAAAAAAUUAGAUAGUAAAUUUUUGAAAGAUUACAUAACUGAUUCAAAAUGAUCAAUAAUUCACAUAAGUUAUGUAGAUUUUUACCAACUUUUUUUCUACCUAAAAAGUACAUAUAUAUUAAAGUCACUCAACAAGAGUAUAACUCUAGCUUGGAUUGGCAGCAAACAAUGCCAAAUAAAAAGACUUGGCUUUGAAACCAAUAAAUACUCCACACCAACCCAGAAACUGGGAAAGGAGAUAAAAAUGAUGAAUCCAGAAGCUGAUCGAUUGAUUGAUCUCGUUCCUUUUUUAAAAAAAUUUUGCUUUUUUCUUUUAUUUUUUCUUUUUUCUUUUUAAAAUCUGUGAGAGGUAACGGCUAGUAACAGUAGUUGUUGCAGUACGAGGGUGGACACUAAACAGCACUAUACAAGUGCGGUGGGUAAAAGCAAAAGCUAAAAGCCAAAAGCCAACAAUGACUGGGUUGUGGGGAAAAGAAGCAGAGGAGUACGUGGUGGGCAUGCAAGGGAAGCUGCACAAAGUUCGAAUCUAAACGCUAAUCAACUAUUCCAAAAGCACAUGCUGAUAAGAAGAACGUACAGCACUCGCGGGCUUCGACUUGACUCGACCCACCUACAUGUUGGGUAUGUUGUUGAGCCUCUUAGCGUUAGGUCUCUUGUGAACCGCACCACCACUCAACUUAUUAGUCUUCUGGAUCUAUUAUCACGAAACAGAAUGUUGGGCCUAUUUUAGUCCAACUUGGACAGUUAAUGUAGCAUGUGGGAAUCGAACCCGCGCCACUAACUCUUAUACCACUUAUGGACAGUAAGCGCUAACCAACUAUCCCAAAAUUACGUAUAGGAAGGAUGCAUCUGUCGCACUUAAGGACUCAGCCACAGCGCUCGCGGGCUUCAACCUGACUCAAUCCAUCUAAAUGUUGGAUCUAUUGUUGGACCUCUUGCCGUUAAAUCUCUUAUGGACUGUACAUCCACUCAACUUAUUAGGCUCACCGAACUCAACUUAUUAAUCUCUUGACCUAUUAUCAUGGGACACAAAGUUGGACCUAUCUUAGUCCAAUAAUAAAUAGCCAACAGAAAGAAAGGUCGGUUGCUUGCUACUGUGUUUCAGAGGAUCAUCAAACCCCUCAAAUACGACACAUCUCAAAUUGAUUAUAUUGUGUCGUAUAAAAUCAGAAAAGAUCUAAUAAAAAAUAAUAUGGUAUAUUGAUAUCAAAAUAAGGNAUAUAUUUAUAUCAAAAUAAGGCAUCUGAAAAAAAAAAAAAUUUUGUUUUCCUACUCGCUAUUGCAACGUGAUCUAAGUCGUCCUUUGAUCGAAUGUCCGUAUUAGCAUGUGGAACUGGAAAAGAUUACAGCAGAAAAAAUAAUAAAUUAUACCUUAAGGCGAUCUUGUUGUACAACGUAAAAUGGUAUUAGACCUAAGCGAUCGGGGAGAUCAUAUGCAAUUUUAUGUUGUUCUUGUACUUGUGCGUAACGUGAAGGUCUUUGAUUGUAGAGUAAUGCUACAGAUACGUUUCAAAGUAGAGUGUAUAUCUUACAUUCACUCAAUUUCAAGACCAUUACUACUCUACUUACUCUAUCAACCUUUUUUUAUCUGUACUAAAAAUUAUUUGGAUUUUUAUCAACUCCAAAAUAAAAGGUCCAAGAGCUACACUUUGUUUUUUAAGUGUACAAGAAGCAUUUUUUUUUUAUUGUAUAUUGUUUAUUUUCACAUAAAAUAACAAUGACGGAUCAGGUUGGUGGUGAAUUGCGCUACUAGUCCCUAAACUUUUAUACUAAUUUCAUUUUGAUGCUCAAAACUUCUAAAUACGUACGCUUCGUCUUAUACUUAUCCCCAUGAACAACAAAGAAAAGUUUCGGCGGGCACGUGGAUAAAUAAUCUUUCCUCUAAAGCGAAAACCAAAGUAAAGGACUCUCAAAAUUUUUGAGUGUCAAAUAUCAACCUAAAAGUUUAAGAGCCAAAUUGAAAUUUUAUUACAGUUCCAUCGCCUAGUUGUACUAUUAUCAUUUUGGAUGUUUUUCGUGGGAUAUAUACCAGGUCUGACUUUUGAAACAGUUUCUCAAUAUAAGAAACAAAAAUUAUAAGUUUAACAAGUAAAGAGUUUAUGGCUCAAAUGCUCAAUUAUAUUGUGGCAAAACAUUAAAAUUUUUCGAACCGUAAAUAGUUAUACCUGAACAGCAUUUCUGUAAAAAAAAAUUUGUCAGCAGCAUUGAAUAACAUGGCUCAAAGUCAUAGGCUGCCAGAUCAAUCAGAGCUUAGCUGACUCAUUUGGUUGCAGUUUGUCAGUAUUGCUGUUCUCAUUAAAUUUAGAAGAUGUCAUAUCACUGUCCAAAUUUGCAGAAAGGAAAGAAGCUACAGCUGAAAACAAAGAACUAUAGAGUCAAAAAAAAAAAAUCAACCAACUAGUGUUCACAUGAUUGGAUGUAUUUGAAAUGGAGCAAUUGCAAAAUCCAAGCUGUUAGUUAUUUCUCUACAAGAUUUUAAGGAAAUGCAGUUCUUUCUGAAUCAUUCAUGUGUUCAUAUAUAAAGAUUAAAACUAUGAUGAUGGGCCUGCUUGGAUGUCAAGAGAAUUUAUUUAAAUACAUUUUUUAUGCCACGGAAAUUAAAUGACUUUAAAGCCUAAUAUGGUAUGAUUGUUCUGACAUUUGAUUAUACUCUUCGUAUACUAAAUACUAUAUUUUUUUUUGAACAAAUAAAAGAUACGUGCUGAAUAAGAUGGUCGUGCGUUCAAAUAGUGCGCAACUAACGUGCUAAGAUUCACAACUUUAUUUCCUAGUUCGUGUUAAAAUCUGAAAUUUGUAAGGUUUAUAGAGAUCGCUGAAAGAUAGAGAUAACUUGAAAUAAGAUCCUGAUUCAUUUCUGGCGCCUCUCAAAAUAAAUGGAAUUGUUGUUGAGUGUAUUAAAAUUCCUACUGAACUGGCUAAAAUAACUCCCUGUUUUUUUCUGAGCUUAAAACAAAAACAACCAAAGGAAACGGAAUGAUCCAGUUAAAGAGCCCCCACUCUUUAUGCCUUGAUACAAGAAAUGGAAAUAACCCCCNCCCCCCCCCCCCACAAAAACAAAAAAACAUUAAAGGCCCAAAACCCAACGAAGCCCAAAAACUUAUUGGGCUGAAGUGAUGGAUGAUAACUUAUUUGGGGAAAAAAUUCUUAAAAGAAAAAGAAGUUGAUUUCGGGUAGGGCCGUCAACGAACCGAACACAUGCGAGCUGGGGUUGGUUCGUGUUCGCUCGUUUAUUAAACGAGCUGAAUAGGAGCUAGAUUGUUAAAUUAUUGAGCUGAAAAGUUCAGUUCGUAUUCGGCUUGUUUAUUAAUGAGCCGAAUAUGAGCUCAGCUUGCGAACAAUAAGUUAGAUUGUCAGCCAUACUAUUAGUUAAAAAGUUAAAGAAAAUUAGAAAAAUUGGAAUCCCAAUCUAAUAAAGAAAAUUCACAAAAUAUAGGGUGUCUUUACAUUUGGGUUGGCUUGGGCUAUACGAAUCGAAUAGAAGUGAGCUCACCCAGCUCGUGUUCCCUUAGUUAAUAUUUCGGGUUGAAAAAUUCAGCUCGCAUUUGGCUCAUUUAUUAAAUGGCUGAUUAUCCUCGAUCUUAUUUGGAACCGAAUACGAUCUGGCUCGCGAACAGCCAGAUAGAUUGCCCACCCUGCUUCAAGAUUUUCAACUUUUAUGGCUAAACAAAUAUUUUAGAUGUAGGGAUUGCGAGUAAUAAACCCUAAACCCUAAACCCUAAUAUACUAUUAGUUCCUACACUAUUUCAUAUAAAAAAAUUAAUUUUUUUUGUUUUAAAAAAAAGACAAUGAUAUCAAUUGAGGCCUAAAUAUUGUGUGGAAUUUUUUUAUAUUUAAGUUGCUACGUGGCAAUAUUUAAGUGGUGGAUGUCUCCCACUUUGACCACCGUUUGUCCUAUCCAUGGUGGUGCCACGUGUCACGCGUCCAACUCACUUGCACAGUUGUACCGCCCCACCACCGACCCUCUCCGCACCAAUCUCCGCAGCUCACCCAACUCGAACAACUACCAAACCCAUCCGUUACCCGACGCUACGCGUACCCGAAGAUGCCCCUCGGGAACAACGUAACUUACCAUACUCCUUCCAAUAAAUACGCACCACCUCAUGAUGGCCACUAUUCCCUAGACCGGGUGUACUGGACUGGAGCAAUAGACCACCCAACACACUGAUUUCUUUUUACCUUAGAUAAGUUAAAAAUUAAACUGAUCUUACGUUGAUACGACUUGUAACUAUAAUGCGUAAAUAAAAUACCUGCUUAUAGAAGCAAUAAUAAUGUUAGGUCAAUUCAGAAUAAGUGUUGUAGUUUAGGAUUAUAUAUAUAUAUAUAUAUAUAUAUAUAUAUAUAUAUAUAUAUAUAUAUAUAUAGGACAUUUUAUAAAUUGAACUCUAUUUAAGAAAUACCUACGAUACAUUGGAAUACUUUUACAUGCAGUAAUUACUUCCUACAAUAAGUUGUAAACAUAUUACAACAAAAAGAACUCUUUCUUAAUUAAUUUGAAGGUGAAUGAUAUCUUUACUGUUUAUUUAUUUAACUAAAUAGACCACCGACAAUCAUCAACAAAGCUAGUGAUGAAUUUGUAAGAUAUUAAUUUAUGAGGCCAGCAAUUUGUACCCCAACUUGCAAGUUUAUAAUGAGGUGUUCAAGCUUCGAGCUCUACAGAAAAAAAAAAAAAACAAAAACAAAAAAGGAAAAAAUACGUAUAGGUUCCUACAAAUAUAAUGAAUUACAAAUAUAUUUCUAUAAAGUUCGACUUUUAUAUAUUGCUCUUACAGUCCUUAAAAAAAUUUAGUUAAUCAUAGGUUAAAUAUUUUACCUUGAUUAGUUAAUGAAGUGAAUUAACUUUUUACUCCUCUGUAAUUAACAGUGGAUAUAUUUGUAAUAGCAAAAAAAUUAUUUCACUUACAAAAUAAAUAAUAUUUUAACGAUAAUAAAUUAGAGGGACAUAUUUGAAAAUAUUAAGACUUUUAUAGGGACAAUAUAUGAAAAUUAAAAUUUAUAAGAAUAUGUUUGUAAUUUAAUAUAUUUGUAGGGACCUCUAUGAAAUUAAUCCAAAUAGUAGUUUUUAUGUUGGGGUUUCUUAGGGUAAAGCCUAAGAAACGUGGUAGUCGUGGACUAGACAGCGAUUUCAUGUGAGGGACAACGUACCGCCUGCGAGGAUCGCAUCAGCUUUUCCCCGCACUCAGCUCUCUUCUCGCUUUACUUUUCCCCUCCGCAUCCUCCUCCCCAGCAAUGGAACUCCACCUUCCGGAAAACGACUUCCGCCGCUCCCAUCUUCUUCUUCUUCUUCCUCGCCCAUGGACUCCGCGAGCAAGGACUACUGCCACCGCCACCGCCACCGCCACUGCCGAGGCGGCGCCACGCUCCUCCUCCGCCGCUGCGCCCUCCUCACCGUCGCGGCGCUCCUCGCCCUCGCCCUCGUCCUCGUCGUCCUCGCCCUCACCGUAUUCCGGCCCCGCCACGCCGUCACCACCGUCGACUACGUGCGCCUCGCGGGGCUCCGCAUCGCGCUCGACGUGCCCGACCUCGGCGUCGACCUCAACCUAACCCUAGACCUCGCAAUCACGGCCUACAACCCGAACCGCGUCGGGUUCCGGUACGGCGAGGGCGACGCCGAGCUCUACUACCGGGGCGCGCUCGUGGGCGCGGCGUCGAUCCCGGCCGGGGAGGUGGCGCCGCGCGGGAAGGUGCGCACGGACGUGGAGCUCACGCUGCUCGCGGGGCGACUCGCCGGGGACGCGGCGCUCUACGCGGACGUGGUCGCCGGGGAGGUGCCCUUCGCCACGGAGACGACGAUCCCCGGGAGGGUCACCGUGCUCGGGGUGCUCAAGCACCACAUGGUGACGUACACCGCGUGCGACAUCACCGUGUCCGUGCGGAAUCGGACGGUGGAGAACUCCAAUUGCAGGUACAGGACCAAAUUCUGAUCCUAGCUUAUUUGGGGUACAAUACUGUAUACGAAAUUUACAUAAAUAAAUAUAGAGAGAGAGAGAGAGAUGAGAUGUUUGAUGGAAUUCCCGCCUGUACCGUUUACAUGAUUUAUGGAGCUUCAUGGAACUCGAACUUGAAAAUCUCGACUCUCGAGUAAGUAGAACAAUAUAAUUUUUUUUAAAAAAAAUCUUAACUGAAAUAAGUUAGCUAUAGCUGUUAUCUUCUUUAUAUUCUUUAUGUUAAUCAUAUGGAGAGUGGAAUAGUUUAUCGCAAAGAGGAGGUCUAGUCCCUUCACUUUUGUUAGUGAGAUAAUUCAGGUGGAGAGAACUUCUUCCUUACUAGUUCAGCAUUUGAACUCGAAAUAUCUAUAGGUGAGAAUUAAUGAUCAUAAUAAUAUAUAUUAUGUUUAAUUCUUUGAUUCGUUGUGCGGUACUAGUUAAAUUGAUUGUGCGGUACUAGGCGAAUGGAAUUUCUUAUUCAUGUCACACAUUUCUCAUGCAAGUAUAUAUUUUGGCCAAUUGCGUCAUUAAGUAGACUCGUACACUUCCCUAAAACUCCUCCUGUGGAUGUACUGGUAUAAAGUUAUCAUGUGAAAGCUAAAACAACAUAGGAAAUUAACACAUGAAUAAUCAUAGACAACUCAUUGAAACGGAUGCAAAGAAGCAGGUCAUAGAACAAUAUUAUGAAUACCAGCCCUAUAGAAGAACAUCAGAGCAGUAGUAUCUGUUUAUCUUCUUCAAGAUCAAAAACUAACAUAGGAAAAAAAAUUUUGAGUUUGAUGGUUGAAAAUAGUCUUAAGCUAGAGGUAUGGACGUGUGCCGAAUAAGCCUUGGAAAAAAAUUUCACAAGCUUGAGUCUUUUAGAAACUUUUUCACUUCCCCACUCCCAAAAAUGCUCCGGCAAUAUUCUGGCAAACAAACAGGAGCAAUGCUGAAGAAAGAGGGUAUGAAGAACACUUAUCGUUCUCAAUGCUGCUUCUUAUCAGCGAAUGGUCCGCGCGGUAUCUUCUGAAGCACUUUCUCGUCCAGCACCUUGUAGUGCUUACUGAUUUCGACCAUCGCCUUCUCAGCUGCAGUAUCGACGUGAUCUUCGUAUUUUUCAUAGAAUACCGGCAGGGUAUAUGCGAUCACGAAAACUGCACAGGCAAACCAAUAAGAAUGUAUAUAUAAAAAAAAAAAUUGAAAAUGCCUCUACUUAAGACAAAAACUAGUGCUUAGUAUAGUCCAUAACAUAUAUAUGGUGUAUUUUAGCGUGUCAAUAACAUGCACAUAAUAUACAUUGAACUAGAAUACAUUCGGAAAAGCUGGUGCUUCCAUCUUUCAUGAAUCGCAUAUUCGCAUGCGUUUGAAAUCCACAUGGAUGCCCGACGGGCAUGCAUCUUUAUGUGCAUCAUACGGCCUUGGUGCAGGCCCAUGCAGAUCCCAGUGCGCAUCAAAAUAGCGAAAAAGAUUAACUACAGCUAUUACAGUGCUUUUAAAAGUAUUCUAGCUCAAAUCCAAGAUGAAUUAGUUGUUAGCUUAAAUCAAUGCGAGAAAGACUAUGAUGGGAACAUACUGAUAUAGAAAAGAGUCAAGAAACUGAACCAGCUGCCAACAACAGAAAUGACCCAGAGACCUGCAAUGACCUGCAUGAAAUUCUCUGUAAGACCACUGAAAUGAAAUUUGGUUUAAGAAAGUAAUAUUUUGAUACUUCACCAUCAAAAAUGUCUUCAAAUCCUUUCCAGAAGCUACGUAUCGGAAAGUUACGAAAGCUUCAUUAAUUUCAAAUCGUAUAGUUUGUGCUAUUUGUAGAAACAGGUCCUCAGGCAAAAUAACCUCUGGAAACUUAGGUGGAGACCUGAAUCAAUAAAAGAAUGUUUAUUCAAAAUAUAUAUUUAAGAAGAGAGACCGCUCUACAAUUAGUAAUGUUUUUGAGGUAUUAACUUGCCAAAGCUAUCAAAAAUAUAAAAAGUGAAAAUGUUGCAUUUAAUAUUUUAGCAAUAGUAUAUAGGAGGAAACUUGAAUGUUGAUUUAAGUACAGCUGGGGAAUGCAAAAUUCCUACAUAGGAUAAAACCAUACAGGAUAAGCAGUAAGUUCGGACUAGAAACAUUUUAAAGUUAUACAGGGAAACAAAAAAAACCUACAAAAGGCCAACUAGAUGGAACGAAAAUUUACUAAUUACAUCAAAUUAUAAUGACAAUGGACUGAUUCUGACGAACAGAUCAGGCAAGAUAAGUUUCAAAAUGAAAUGAAAAUUAUAUAAGCCUUAUAAAAUAAAGCUAGAAGACAGCUGCAAGGAAUUAAAUUCCAGACGAUGACAUUGAUUAAAAAGGUAAAGUAAGCAUAGGAUGCUAUCAUUUCUUUAGCAAGUCAUAAACUGAAAGAAUAAAAUCAAUUUACAAGUAUAAAGAUGCAGUUUUUGGAAAAUAAAAAAUAUAAAAACUAUCAAAAUGAUGCAAAAUAAGUCAUAUCUAAAUGACUACUAUAUAAAAAUGAAACCACGACUUCCAUUUGGUCCCAGUACAGUUCAAUGGUACAAGAUGUCCACAUUCUUAAUAGACUACGUAAUUUCAAUUACACCAAAUACUCGCUUCCUAUGUGCUGUAGCUUCUUAUAAAGGCACUUGGUUGAAAUCAUGCCUGUAUGUAUUUCUCCAAUAUCUUAUGAAUAUACAGAAACGGAUACGGUUUGAUUUUUUUUUGUUUUUUACUACCCAAUUAAAUCAAUAGCAAGUGAUUCACAAAAUUUUAUUUAUACCAAGCUCAAGCACUCAGUGAAUUCUCUUGGACCCAGAAUGAAAUGGGGUUCCAUUCGUUUUCCUUAUAAAAAAAAAAAAAAGAUGAACUGCCCUGAACCAAAGUCAAGGGUUUGUUUUGUUUAUCAAUUCAAAAGUCCUUUAUACACACCCUAUUGGAUAUGACACCUAAAUAGAAAUUAAGAAUGAAUCACACAGAUUCAAAUAACCAAGUUGAGCAAAUGUUGCCAUUGCAAAAUUAAAAGUGCAUAAUUGAGAAAGGUACUGCUAUCAUUAAUUCUAUAAACAUAAAUGAACAGUAUGUUACAGAGAUAGAAAAAUUUCGCAAACAUUCGACUGAGCAAAAGAAUGGCUAAGCAAUCAUAUGACGUAGAAGUGUAUGGGGCCUCACCUGUUUACAAAUGAUGCUGCAUUGGACCAAAUAAAAGAUAAAGCCAGCAAAGCUAUAACAGAGUGGCAUAUAAAAGUGAGUAGGUGAUAACCCAACCAUUCAAAGAGAAUCCAAAUAAUAGUUACUCCAGCAAGUAUGCUGCCUGAUGUCUUCUUAUCUCUCCACAAAAUAAUAUCAGCAUCUGAAAGCAUCAACAAAUAUCAGUAAGUUUUAGAGAGCCUUUAACUAAGAGAAGCCAAACAAACAUGGCAAAUGUUGGAGCAAAGAUGCUGACUCCCGGAUCUUACAAAAAACAAAACCAGGUUCUGGUUUGACACAGGUUUUGAUUGCUUUAUCUACCAGUCUCUUUUGACUUUUCGUAAAUAAAAGACAAAUGCUAAAGACUUUAAUUUAUAUGGAUAUAACUCAACAAAGCAAAAUGUGCAUACGAAGGAAAGAACAGUACAUAUGAUUAAAAAACAUGCACUAUUUAUAUCUGAUCUUCUAUUAAGUCAAAUAUCCUACACACCAAAAUCACCAGAUGAAACAAAUGAGAAGAAACUGAAAGAGGAAUAUUCAACAGCAUAAGCUGGAAAAUCAGAGACAAAUGUUUGCCCAAGCUAGUACAUAGCUACCAGAAAAUGUAGUAGUUAGUACAGUUAGAAACAAUCUAUGGUUAGAAAAGAAAGAGCUUACAGUCAUAACAAAAAUGCUUAUGUAAUGCAUUCUAUCAUUACCCCAAAAUGUUACAGGAGGGUGAGCUGUUAUUCCGUAAACUAAAUUGCUUCUAGACAAAUUUGAUCUAGACAUUAUUAAUGGUGAAGAUGUAAUACACCUUUAAAUGGCAAUUAUAAAGCAAAUUCCUGUUAUAAACUAAACAAUUAUCUUUAAUAACAUUCAUAACUGAGACCGAAAACACCUUCUAAAGUUCAUCAGUUUUACCUGAUCGUACUUCCUAAUUCUAUAUUGCAGGUUAAAAUUACUAAAAAUCGACCAUUGAAAACUUACAAUCCUCUAUUUAACCAACAAAAAUUUUAAAAAAAAAAUCUAAAUUUCUGCAACCUGACUCCAUCAAUCGUAAAGACAAUAUGAAUAGGUCACAAAUACAAAUAAUUGAUGAUGAACCUUCACAAGAUAUAAAUCGCCAGAUCGCUAUUUGCAUUGCCAUAAAACAAUCGAUCAUUAACAUAUCAGAUUAUGACAACAUUAUCUCAACUAAUUAUACACAAAACAAAUUUAACCGAAUUUUUGAUGAAAAUGUGUAUAUAUCAUUCUCAACAAAUAUAAUCAACAAUUAACAAAGGCAAUAAUCCUGGUAAAAGAAACCAUACAUUUCCCUCCUCCGAGAACUUUGUGCACCGAUUCCUUCCUCCCGAAGAGCCGUUUCUUCCUCGCAUUAUGCGAGGAGGGCCUCUCACUUUCGGAAUCCGAUGACGACGACGAUCCCUUGUACUCAUGAAUCAUCUCGUUGAUCUUCUCCGUCAUCGAGUUAUGCUCACCGAUCUCCGACAUUUUCCCCUAACCCUCUUCAAUAUUUUUUUAGAACAGAAUCAGCACAAACGAUUUAACAAAUUACGAAACCAAAAAAUCGCACGAAAUCGAUCGAGCGUUUAACACAUCAAAAGGCCGAUCGAAUCUACUACGAUCUCGAUCAACAAUGAAGCGCAUCAAAAUGCGAUAGGAUCGAAUUAGGGUUUCUUACCGAAGAAAGAGUCGUCUCUUACGUUUCCUUCUCCCUCUCUCUCUCUCUCUCUCUCUCUCUCCUCGACGCUCUUCACGCUCGAAACCGAAAAAUGGAAACGGGCGAACGAAGGGGAGGUAAAGGCGGGGGCCUUAAAUAGUCCGUGGCCGGGAGAAUCGGGCGGCUACGAAGUUUCCGUUACUCGAUCCAACGGUCAUUGUGGCUUCGCCGUUAAUGUCUAGUCACGGAGAGAUGACGCCGUUAGAUUCUGCGUCCGUUCUCACGUUGAAUGAACGGAGGGCCUCGGGGAACGGCUCGGUUCAAAUUUAAAUCACUCGGGACGAUUUAAUAGGCCGGUUCAGUUGGACCGGUCCGGUCCAACUCUAAUAGGGAAAAAAGGCCGGCCCAAUUCAUUUAUAGCAUGGUAAAAUUCGACGGAGACGCCUGAACUAUAGGAUAUUCUGAAAAAACCCCUCAGUUUAAGUCGAUUUUUUUUAAAAUUUUUUGGUUAAAUUUUAAGGCUCGAUCAACUGUUAAAAGUUACUUAGAAUUUAUUUUUUAGGAGAAAAGGUGCAUAGACAAGUUUUUUUUAAAAAAUAUUCAUUUUGUUAUCACAAAAGUUUUUGAAGUUUAUGCUGUUUGAUAGCAAUGAUUAAUUGUUCACUUAUGGUUGCAAGAAUUUUUCACCAUUUAGUAAUACAAAUUCACUUCACAUUAUAACUAAACCUCAUAAUAUAUUUUAAAACUUACAUGUACAACUUUACUUCAUAAUAUAUUUAUUGCUAUGUACUAAUGUACACCAUUUGGUUUUUAAAUAUUCAAUGUUAAAGAUAAACUGUUAAAUGCCUAUUAAGUUUAAAAUUGAUGUAUACAAAAGUAUUAUUAAUUCAAUAAUAUGUAUACAAAAUUGAUGUAUAUUAAAUUGAUGUAUACAAAAUUGAUGUAUAUAAUAGGUGCUUAGCAAUUGAAAGACUCAAAAAGUAUUAUUAAUUCUAAAGAAAACAAAUGUUGGAAAGAGAUUGGAAAAAAAAAAAAAGUUCCGAAAUCAAUAUUGAUCGAAUUGGAGUAUUCGUAGCUACUGUUUGAAUAGAACUAUUUAAACAAAAAAAAAAAAAAAAUAUGUCAGAACUAAAAAUUCUAGUUAUGAAGAUCAGAUGAGUAAAUUUUUUGCGAUUUAUAAAAGUGUUUUUUGGCGGAAGUUGGAGAAGAGUUGCAGUGAUUCGGUGCAAUACUUUGAGAGUUGAUUAUUAAAUUGAAAUUUACAUGUUAGAAGAAUUUAAUAUAAAUUUUGUUUUAAGUUUCUUUUAUUUAUAUCACUCUUUUUAAUUUUUUUGAUUUGAGUUAUUCGAACAAUGGUUGCUAAUAAAAUAGAUCAUAACUAAUUUAUCAAAAAACAAUUGUACUUUUUAAAAUUAGUAAUACAAUUAUACAAAUCAUUCAUUUUGUUCACCCCCAUUUCAAAGAUGUAAGCUUUUUUCCUACAUACUAAAUUCAAUUCUUCAUAUAGCACUUCAAAUUACAACACCCCCAAAUUAUUAAUUACAUAAUCAAAAAAAAAAAAAAACGCGUGCGCGCGCGCACACACUCUCCUCCCCAUUCCAUGAUAUUUCUAAAGCGAGAUCAUAUCUAUCAAAGUAGAAAGGAAAUGCAUCGUAUAUUAAUUGACCAAAACCGACAGUGGAUAUCAUGCGCCCUUCACAGAGAUGCCCUGCAUCAUGCACUUGAACUCGCCGAAAUUCACCCGUCCGUCAUGAUCCUGAUCGACGGAGCAGAUCAUCUCGCGAACCCUCGCAAGGCUCUUUGCCUCCGGCAACCCUAGCUUCCCGAGCACCACCUGGAGUUCGGCAGCGGAGAUGAACCCAUCCCCGUCCUCGUCGAAAACCCGAAACGCCUCCUUCAUGUCCUCCUCCUCUUGAUCAUCAGUGAUACAGAAGAGCUCCUCCUCCUGCUGAAUAUAAAAUACUAAAAUAUUAUUCUUUUAUUUUAUACAACAUCAGAACAAAAGAUAUUAAGUUCGCUCGUCAUCAACAAUAUACGAAAGCAAUAUAGUUUAAGACUAGUUUUUGAGUUUUCAGAGAUAAACGUUUGAUAUUGUGUGAUGCACGUUUUUUUUUUCUCUGAUCCACAAUUUUGUAAUAUUUGAGAGAAAAAAAAUAUUUGAAUUUUUUUUUCAAAAAGCAUGAAAGUACGUGGUUUUAAUCAGCACGGUGUGGCCUGAAGGUGGUGUUCAUUUGCUUCUUCAAAAAAAAAUUUUAUAAAAUAAUUUUCUAAUCAAAAAAUUUAUUUUUCGUCCAUUUAGAUUUUUUAAAAAUAAAUAUUCUGAAAAUAUUCCUUUUAGAUGCAUAAUAUUUUUCAAAAUUAACUUUUAGAAAAAUAAUUAUUUGUGAUUUUUUGAGAAAUAGAGAUGGAUUGUUGUGUCAUCGUUUAGCUCAUAUCGAUCACAGCGAGAGCGCUUUUUAAAAUUUUUGAAUUUUAUCUAAAAAAAAAAAAAAACACUUUCUCCUAGACAAGACCAAUAUAAAAUACUAUAUAAUUUAGGCUAAAUUACAGAUUUUUUUUUUUGUAGAAACUUUUUUUAUUUUUUCUUUCUAACUUCUAAAAAUGUAUAUUUUAUCUUUUUAAAAUUUUAGAAAUAUUUUUAGAAAAAUAUCGUAUUAAUGAAGAGGGCAAAAUAAUCAAAUUGACUUUACUUCUUUUAUAAAAAAUAAUAAUUUUUUAAUAUAUAUAGAUAUAUAUGUUAUUUUAAAAAAUAUUUUUGAUAUAAAUUAUACAAAAUGAACGUAAUAAUAAUAGAACACUAACGAGAGGAGCUAUAUGCAACAAUUGAAAAUAUUAAAGAAGUAAUAUAUAAUGAAAGAAUAGGUAUUUAUAAGAAGAUUUUUUGUAAUUUAUUAUUAGGUUAAUUUUCUACAGAUCUCCACAAAUAUAAUAAGUGACCAAUAUAUCCCUAUAAAAUUUAAUUUUCAUAUGUUGUCUCUACAAAAAUUAUGAUAUUUUCAAAUGAGUCCCUCUAAUUUGUUAUCAUUAGAGAAUCAUUAGAAAUUUGUUUAUAUUUUUAAUUUUGUUAUCACAAAUAUAUCUUUUCAAAAAUUAUAACAGUAUGAUAUAAGAGGAAACAAAAAUAUUAAAAAUUAAUUAUGAUUAGAUAUUUAAUCUAUAAUUAACUAAAUUUUUUAACCGAUUCUAAUGGCAGAAAUAUAUUUAAAAAUAUUAGAAUUUUUAUAAAGACAAUAUAUAAAAAUUAAACUUUAUAAUGAUAUAUUUGUUAUUCACUAUAUUUGUAGAGAUCUGUAUGAAAUUAAUCCAUUAUUAUUACUACUACGGCUGCGACGCACCUCGGUGGCGGGUGAAGGAGAGGGGGGGCCGGCGAAGAGCGCGUCGCCGAGGGCGCGGUGGAGGGCGUUGAAGUCGGGGAAGAGGAGGCCGGCGCGGCCGGGGGGUACGAAGGCGGCGACGGUGGCGGCGAGCUCUGCGCAGUCGGCGCCGAGGCCAAGGCGGUCGAGGGCGAGGGCGAUCUCGUCGACAGUGAUCUCGCCAUCGCCGUCGCUGUCGAAGAUGUCGAACACCCGCCGCAGCCGCACCGCAUUCAGGCUCUCGCUCCGCAGCCGGAACGACCGCGACGGGGCCGCCACCCCCCGCCUCACUCCCUCCGCCGCCUCCUCCGAUGCCGACGCCGCCACCGACGACGGUGAUAACAUUAAUGAUUCCAUUAAUAUUAAUUAAUUAUAAUUAAUAAUCCUAAUAUUAAUUAUUAAUUAAUUAAUAUUAAUAUUUGGAAUAAAAAGGAGGAAUUGGGGAGGAGAAUAAGGUGAGGGGGUUGGUGGGGGGCGGGGGGGGGGAGCGGAAUCAAAUGGGUGGUGGGGGGAUUCAUUUAUAGGAGGAGAGAGGAUAAGGGCAGGUGAAAAUUUACGAAGAACACCCUCAGCUACAGCAUAUUGUGAAAUGGGUGCUCAAAAUUUUUCCUCAAGAUUUGAUUUUAUUAAAUUUUAAAAUACAAGUAAAAUUAUCAAAAAUUUAAUAAGUUUUAAUUUAUGUCCUAAUUUUCGAAUAAAUAACAGCUAAAUGCGAUCUAAAUUAUUAAAACUGUUAAAAUUGAACGGUCCAUAUGUCAAAUAGACAAUAGUUGAGGGGUUUAUGUACAUUUUUUCACCGAGGCUCGGUCAGCUUGUUCGGAAGAGCGCGUGCGCCGGAAAUGGAGCCAAAAAUUUGGAGGGUUAUUAUUAUUAUUUUUUUUUUGGGGGGGGGUUUCUUGUGCCAUUGAUUUACCUAAAUUUAACUUAUUUACGUUAGAGAGUCUUGUUGUAACGUUUGUGGAAAAGUGCGUCAAGUUUUUAGUAUUUAUUUGAUAUGAAAAAAAAAAAUAGAACUUUAAAACAGAAAAAUAAGGAUGAUUUUUUCGUCCAUGAUCAGUUUAAGCUUUCCAAUUUAUCAAAAUAACUAAUAUUGCCUCAACAAAGAAAGAAACAUUAAUGAUCGAUCACAAAGCUCAAAAAAUCCGAAAAAAAGAGAGACAAAAGUAAAAUAAGCUCAUAUAUGGACAAGCAUUACGAUUGUUCUGAUUCUUACGUUGAGUUGAAUAUGAUUAUAAUAGUCGUGGUAAUUAAUAACAUAAAAUUAGCUACAGCUGGUACAUUAAUCUAUUGCUAAAAGCACUUUUCCUUAAUAUAUUGUCAAAAAGCACUUCCUCCUCAAUAAUAUGAGUUGUAGGAGGAUGUACAGAUAACAACAACUUGAGCUUUUAUUAGGGGAAGCAAAAAGAUUAAGGUGGGUGACAACUUUGGACUUUGUUUACCAUGUGUUGUAAUGCAAUUAUUAUAAAUCAUAAAUUAGAUAGUAGUGUCCAGAAACUUUAGAGUUACCAUUUGUUCGUAUCGCAGUUAUUUCUAUUUCCAGCUGCAAUUUUAUCUAAAAUAUUUAAUAAAUAAAAAAAUUUGAAUUCGUAAAUAGAAAAGGAUAAAAUAAGGGCAUUAUUCAGUUGACGCUUUAACAAAUGCCGGUGAAAUCGUGCGGCCAAUAAGUGAUUUUUUGGUGGCCGCUUUUUUUACCACAAUUUUAUAGUAUUGAAAAAAAAUAAAAAUAAAAAAAAACUUAAAAAAAAAUUACGCAUUCCAAAAUAUAAGAACAUGCAGUUUUUACAACGAAAAUUCCGAGUUAGCAAAAAGCAAAAGUGGGAUAAGAAUUACAGAACCUCUUUUCUCUCUCUCUCUCUCUCUCUCUCUCUCUCUCUCUCUCUCUCUCUCUCUCUCCAACUAUAUAUAUAUAUAUAUAUAGUACGUCUCCCGUACUUUCGAAAGUACGGAGGCCUCCAUACUUGUAAGCUGUUUUCGAUGAUAGGACAUCCGAUUCGACAAUCGGCUCCGUUAGGCAUAAUCUACGCUAUUGGAAUUAUCUAGAAAUCAAAUUUUAAAAUUUUUCGACAUCAUUUACCAAGCGAUCACACGGCCUCAAAAAUGACUAUUUUAACGAUCGAUGUGGCACGUUUUUAAGUUCAACGGUGUAGAAGUAUCCAAAUUAUAUGAAACUUCAAUAAAAAAUUCUAUUUAACAUCAAGAGUAAGAACUAUACUUCCGAUUUGAAAUUUGAGUCAUUUAUCACUGUUUUUUAUGAAAUUUUUAUUUUCAGCCGUUCAUUUUGAGGCUACUCGUUCACUAGGCAAACGAAGUCAAAAAAUUAUGAAAUUUGGUUACUAGAUUGUUCCAAUAGCGUAGAUCAUAUUUAACGGAACCGAUCGCCGAAUUGGAAGUCCCAUCAUCGAAAAUAACUUAUAAGUACAGAGGCCUCCAUACUUUCGAAAGCAUAGGAGCCUAGCUCUAUAUAUAUAUUAUAUAUAUAAAGAGAGAGAGAGAGAGAGAGAGAUGAGUUGGAACUCUAUCGGUAGCAAACAGGCUCCGUUGCCACCCAUUUGCUUUCGAUGAUAAAACUUUCAAAUUGACGAUCGGCACCGCUGAACAUGAUUUAUACUACUUGAAGUAUCUAGAAACCAAAUUUCAAAUCUUUUCGACAUCAUUCACCUAGUGAUCAAAGAGUUUCAAAAUUUGUAAUUUUAAUGAUAAAUAUGAAGUGUUUUCUCGUUUAACGGCAUAAAGCUAUCCAAAUCAAUUAAACUUUGGUUAGAAAAUUUUUUCAACUAUUUAGAGCAAGAUCUAUACUUUUGAUCUCGAGGAUAAAAUUCCUAUCAAACACUAUCCACCUACCACCAUCAUCUCAACCCUACAUCUCUCCAUCCAAUGGUGAAAAACUCAAAAGUUUGAAAGUAUUCUAGCUCAAUUUUCUAUAUAUAUAUAUAUAUGAAAUUUAUAAUUUAGAGACUUUUACUUAUUUAUCUCUAACUGCUAUUUAAAAUUUUUAAAUUUAUUCUCAAAUUACUAAAAACCUGUCUAAAUCCCAAAUUCCAUUUAUAAGCCCUUGGGGGUUUGGGGACAUUUGGUCAAUCAAGGUUAUAUUAGAUAUUCCUGGAAUUUUUAUAGGCAUAUUUGAUAUUAUUUUAAAUUUUAUAAUAUUGAAUCAAAUAUUUUUGCACAAUACAAAAGUAUUAAAUUUUCUUAAGAAAAUUUAUUUUAAUGUCGAAUUAAUAUAUUGUCGUUGAUUGAACUACUUUUCAAUCUUUUUUGACACAGUAUAAUUAACUAAUAUAGAAAACAGAAUAUAUCGAAUAUCUCUGGUAACCUAUAACUGCUAUCUAAGAAUUACAUCAUAUCCGUCUCUUUUUCUAAAGAAAGAUGGCAAGUUAUUCAAUUCAUAUAUUUUUUUAUUAGAGUUAAACUCAAAUAAAAUAUAUAAAAUAAUUAAAUUUCGUACUUAUUUCAAUCUCAGAUACUAAUUAUUAAAUUUUGACUAAAUUACAGAAAACCUCUCUAUACAAAUUCGUUGUUUCACUUUCUCUCUAUUACUUUUUAAAACCUACAUUUUGCCCUUUUAAAAUUUUAAAAAUAUUUUCAGGAGAUUACGAUGCUAAUGGAGAUAGCAAAAUGACCAAAUUACCAUUAUUUCUUCUAUAAAAAAAAUAUAUUUUUUUAAUAUAUUUUUAUCACUUUAAAAAAUAUUUUCGAUAUAAAUUAUAAAAAAAAUGAACGGAAUAAUAAUAGAACCCUGACGGAGGGGGUUAAAUACAACAACUUAAAAUUUUAAAAGAGCAAAAUAUAAAUUUUUAAAAGUAAAAAAAAAAAAGCAAAAAACGAAUAUUUAUAGAAAUUUUUUUUAUAAUUCAGUCUUAAAUUUUUAACUAAUUGUGCUAGAUCCAGUUGAGUCGGCGGUGACAUUCAAUCUCUAGAAGGCGAGAAAAUGUAUGUCACAUUCGAUUCGAUCUCUCGAAGGCGAGAAAAUGUAGUUUUGGGUCGCUUUUAAACUGGCCAGGAGACGGAGAAAGAAAAAAAAAAAAAAAAAAGUCAAAAAAAGGGACCAAAAUGAAGAAAAAAAAAUCAAAAAAAGGACCAAAAAGACAAAACCUGGGGGGGGUUGGGGGGGACGAGGUUCCGUACGUUGAAUGGACCAAAACCGAAACGCCGUGGUUUUAAAACGUCAACGCGCGGGGGCCGCGGAGUAGGCGCGGAUUCCCCGUCGACCGUUGGAAGUAGUUAGGGCUUGGAAGCGACCUCGAUCACUCGCCGUACUCUCCCGGCCGUUUCAUCCGAACCGUUCGAUUCCCCGCCCCACUUUUGACGAAUCCGAUUCCUCUUUGACCGUCCCCCCCUCCCCUUUGAUCUCCCAAUCAGAGCGUGCGCAUGUGCUGACGAAAUGGUAAAAGAUGUACCCAACCCAUAUGCACCAUAAAUUAUUGGGCCUUUUUUGUAUUUAGACCCCUCCAAAAAAAAUUUAUAUAUAUAGCCUCACAAAAUUUAUACUCACGGUGAAUAAUUCAUCGUAUUUCAGUAUUUUUUCUACGAUGGUAUUAUAUAAUAUUUAGAGUUUAAGAUUUAGCAAGGACACGAUAAAUCAUUCAUCAUGUUUUUAACUUAAUCUCCACCGCCAUCGACGCUCGCGUGACGCUCGCGUGGCGGGGAUAAAAUCAAUCGUGUUUCAGUAUUUUUCCUAAUGUGUAAUUUAUCCUUCGAAAUUUUAAUUUUACUAUCCAAUUUGAUUCGAAUCGAUCAACGACAUUUGACUUUAAAUUUUGAAUGUAUCGUUUAUUUUUACAGAUUUAGUUUAUAACUUUAUAUAUAAUUCUGACAACUAUAAUUUAUUAGAGUAAGAGAUUAAUCUAAAUUUUAAAGUUAAGAUAUUAUUAACUGACUUGAAUUAACAAAUUGAGAUAUUAAAUAGUCAACGCAAAAUGAUUUAUAAUUCAAAAAAAAUAUAAAAUUCCUUGGGGCUUAAUCCAGAUAGUUUUUGAAGAGUCCUCGGCAGCGAAGAAGAGUCAAUCCAGACGUCUCCAAUCGGCAUAACUGAAAAACACGGCUUGAAACAGGAAAAAAAAAAAAAAAAAUCAAGGGAAAGCUUUCAAAUGACGUCUCAUUAAAAACUCAAAACAUAUUUAUCUCUAUCUCAUGAUUAUUAUCCUUUCCUCUAAAAUUUUAAUUUUUUUUUCUAUAUUUUAGCAUUAAAAGCUAUUUAACAAAUAUGUAACAGCAGAUCAGAAGCUUCCAACGAGACAUAAUUCAGAGCUCGCGGCUGAAGUUUUAUCCGUUUGGAAGGUG
rnacentral:lncRNA from 1 species